CCGGUGGUAACAGCGAGCGAGAGAAGCAUGCAUGCACUCAUGUUCUUGUUUAGAUAGAAAAAGGCACACACAGAAAUUUAAGGUCUAUUGACAAACAAACCUGCUUCUCUCCUAAACUACAAGCCAAAGUUUUCUCCCCCAACUAGGCUUGUCUUUGCUUGUUGAACUACUGAACAAAUCUUGCAGAAAGUUCAGAACCUUGAGAUUUUGUGACUCUAGUUUAGUGUGAACUUCAGUAAAUGAAUUAAUGAUAAAGCCAGCUAAUAUGUAGUAUGAAUCAACGCAGAUGCUAGUGUUUUGCAAUCAUUGGUUCUCGAAUUCGCGCACUAAAAUGUAUGGGGCAUUUGUAAUUGGCUGCAUGCUAAUAAUGUUACCAGUAAUUUGUCAUCAAUAGUGCUUUCAUCAUUUCAUAUUUUACCAUGUGUGUUAAAUGAAGAGAGUUCAUGCCCGAUGCUCUAACUUGGAGAUGUUGUGAAGGCAAAAACAACAGUUAAUUACAAAAGUAUAGCUGCUCCGUUGACAUAAUAUUAGUAUCUCAAUUCUCAAGAGGGAUAAGUGGAUAAUCCACCAGUCGAAUCAUAGUAGUGUUGAUUUGCAUAUUACUAAAUUUAUGGAUUGUGUCGAAGAGAAGGAAUUGAAGGAAUUUAUUCAAUUUCAUCUAUGUAUGCUUUCAUUUGAUUUUUAUUGGCAGAUCAUCGUGGUCUAGUUUUGACUUACAUAUUCAAUAGAAUUUUGUGGUAUACAAAGAAUAACACAUGAACACAAUGCAGAUACAUAACCAUCAACAUACCUUUUCUCCUUACUGUUUUGACAUGGUUUCGCUGGUGAUCUAUGUGCACAGCUUGAUCCGGUGAAGCUUUGGAAAUCUAGGACCGUGUUUAAGAAGAUUGGCUCUGUAACUGCUGGCAAUUCCUCUAGUAUAAGGUUUGCUAUUUUCAUACCAUUGCGAUUGAAGUGUCUCUAUUCAAUAUUUCUAUACUUAACAAUUCCAUUCAGAUUUAUGAUGCUAUUUCGUCUAGCAUUGUAGCUUUAUUUUUUCAUGGCCAUAUUACCUUUUGUAUGCAACAUGCAACCAAACUAUGUUGUAUAUCUUCAGUAGUAAAUAUCUCAAGUGUGUACUGAAGCUAGAUAAUUUCAGAUGACCAAUUUUAGGCCUUUUCCAUGGUUGAGAUGAAUUAUGCAAAGCUAUGUUUACUUUAAAGUACAUUCGAAUGUCUAAUUUCAGCUACUCCCUCGGGCCCAUAAUAUAAGAGCGCUUUUGACACUACAGAGUGUAAAAAACGCGCUCUUAUAUUAUGGGACGGAGGGAGUAGUAGAUAUCAGCCACAUUCCAGUAUGGUAUUAGGAUCUUGAGAAAAACAUUUAGCUAGUAGAUAUUCAGCUAUGCGAUUAAAGUCUCUCUUUUCAGCAUUUCUAUACUCAACAAUUUCACUCAGAAUUAUGAUACUGCUUGGUCUAGCAUUGUAGCUAUAUUUUUACAUGACAAGACUACCUUCUGUAUGCAAUAUCGAGCCAAACUAUUAUGUAUAUCUUCGGUAGUAAAAAUAAAGGGUCUGUUUUGUGUCACCUAAGAGUGUAUUGAAGCUGGAUUAUUCUCUGCUCAACAAGCGAUCCCUGCUGGUUUCUUCGCAGAGCACUGAUUACGGCCUUGUUUCCAUCAGGUGGGACUUGGAAGGGGGCCGAGCUGCCAGAGCGGGCAAAGCGAGACAAGAACUAAUCCGGAGGUGGAGUGAAAAGGGGAAGCAGAGAAACGAGGUUUGCUCCGUGUCUUUCUCUUCCAUAUUUGUUGUUUCCAGAUGAUCUCUUCGAUAUUUGCCAACUGUUUCUUCCAAGAAUUCGAGGGCUCACUCAUCCCACCGCAGCCAGUUUACAGCUUUACAGUAGUAGUAUGUUUAACAAGUAGUAGUACAUUGAACAGUAAAACAGAGAUCUCCUGACAUUGGUGGUCGUAGUUUUAUUAAGUGUAAACAUGAUUUGUUUGGGCUAAGAACACCCUGCAGCCAAAGUACCCGGCUAAAGGCACGCACACGAAAUUAAGGUUUAGUAGCGAACAAACCUGUUGCUCUCCUAAACUGCAAGCAAAGUUUUCUCCGCGAUCUAGGCUUGUCUUCGCUUGAUGAACUGCUGAAAAAAGCUUGCCACCAGGACCUUGAGAUUUUCUGACUCUUAUAUUGAAUUCAGCAAAUGAAUCCACGGAACAGCCAUGUAGGAGUCAAUGCAGAUGCUAGAGUUCUGCAACCAGUGUUCUCUGAAUUCACACAAUAAAAUAUAUGGGGUGUUUGUGGCUUGCUGCAUGACAAUAAUGUUAGUACUUAGUACAUUUUCCAUCAAUAUUGCUUUCAUUGCCUUAUAUUUUGCACGUGUAUUAAAUGAAGAUAGUUCAUGUGUACUAAAUGAAGAUACUUUGUGGCUGUUGUGCUAAGUUGGAGAAGAUGUCAUUGUUAAGAUAACAACUACUCCCUUCAUCCCAUAAUAUAAGAUGUUUUUGCAAGAUGUUUUAGCUUGCAAAAACAUCUUAUAUUGUGGGACGGAGGGAGAAUUGUGGAAAUAUAGUUGUUUCAUUGAUAUGAUAUUACUAAUAUCUCAAUGCUUUAAAAGGAAUAAAUUGAAAAUCAAGCAAUCAACUUAUAGUUGUGUUGACUUACAGAUUACUAAGUUCAUGGAAUGUGUUGAACGGAAAGAAUUUCGUCAACGUCAUCUGGAUAUGUUUUCAAUUUUAUUGAUAAACCAUCAUGAUCUGGUUUUGACUGGCAGAUUCAAUAGAAUUUUGUGGUAUAAUAACAUGUCAACACAACAGGUUGAUCCAGUGAAGGUGAGAAAACUUGAGCCAGCUUUUAAGAAGAUUGGCUCUGCAACUACUGGCAAUUCCUCUAGUAAAAGUUCUGCUAUUUUCAUACUCCUUGCUACUUGUUUGCUAUCUUAGAUGGAAACCUUGCAGAAUAGUUAACACAGCCACAUUCUAGUAUGGUAUCAAAAUCUUGAAUAAAACAUUUAGCUAGUACAUAUUCAGCUAUGAUUGAAGUGUCCCUAUUUUGUAUUUCUAAACUUAACAACUUCAUUCAGAUUUGCGAUAUGUGAUAUGCAACUUCAUUGAGGCCUAGCAUUGUAGCUUUAUUUUCACAUUACCAGACUACCUUUCAUAUGCAAUAUGCAGCCAAAUUAUGUCGUAUAUCUUCAAUAGUAAAAACCAAGGAUCCACUACUAGGGAAAAGGCUAGCAGCAGCGCGGGUUCUAGGUAUAUCAGUAGUGCGGGGACCGACACUACUAAUAAGGUGCUACAGCUAACCCGUAGCAGUAAUGCAUGCACACCCGCGCUACUACUAUACAAGUGUAGCAGCAGUGCGCUUCGUGGAAGCUCGCUACUGCUAAUAGCUCUAGCGCGCUUUGCCUGGACGCGCUACUGCUACUGUGGCGCUGCUGCUAACUUUUCUCCACUCGCUACUGCUAAUUUUAGUAGUUUUUGUUUUUUUUCUGCAUAUUUGUUUUGUAUUUGAACAUGCUUUAUACAACAAUAUUUAGCAGAUACAAAUGUCAUCAUGAUACACAUACAAAUGGCUACGAGACCACAAAUGUAAUCAUAGCAUAUACAUGCAAAUAGUCCCAUUAUAAUCAUCAUCCAACACAAAGUGGUAUCUCGUCAUCAUCUCGAAAAUAGCGAUACAUGCAAGUCUCGAAUACUUGCAACUACAACGUCAUCCAUCUAAACAAUGGUAUACGCGAGAAGAGCUAUCACUAUGAGUGAUAGCGGAACUAUGCAGUACAUGAGGCGGCGGUUACGAGUCCUCUCUCGAGCUAGCGUGAACCUCAAGUAACUAGCUUCGGCUUCUUGUCUGGUUUUGAAGCCUUUAUGGCUGGCGCCCGAGACCCCAUUCACUUGCGCCUGACAGUCAGGCCACUCGUUGUACACCCCCGGAACCUUCCCUUUGUACACAACAUAGCACCGCCAUCUCGCCAUCAAGAAACUAGGUACCUGUUAGAGAUGCAUGUUCAUUAAGAGGAUGUACAAUCAUAUGCAACAAAAUAUAUUAGAGCAACACGAAAAAGAAAGGGUUAAUUAGCAACUAGAUGCAACAUACAGUACGCAAACUAAUUAACUAGAGGUACGCAGGUCAUCGUACCCAAACAAACAAAGUAGUGUUACGCAAGUUCGGCAGGGACCAUGGACAUCACAAAGUUUCAUCGCUACAGAAAGUAUACAAGUUCAAUCCUUCCAUAUCAUCGAGGAUGGACCCUAGCUUCUUGAAUGACGUGAGGUCUUGACGUUGCAUGCCUUUGCGAGUUCGGACGUCAGCUCACGAUAUAGGGCUGUGGUGGAACAUCCCCUUCUCAUCGACGACUUCUUUCAUAAUGAUCGUCGCAAUGUCCCUUUGGAUGCGAAAGAAGUCAUCUCUAAGUUUAUAAUCCGCUUCUCCAUGAGAUUCUAGCCACUUGUGGAUAUGUUCAUCAUUUCUGCUUGUCAUGCGAAGCUUUUGGUGAUCCGUGUUGAACUCAAUCAUGAGAUGGAGGAUGUAGAAUCCAUCCUUCUUGUUUGGUUUUGGGACAUGGAUGCAACAGAAGUUAGUUUUAUGCGCGAAACCCAUCUUCUUGUUCCUUUGUUUCCUGAUCUGCAUGUGGCCACCUCUAAUGCUGAAGCCUUGGAGAGCAUCAUCUAGAAUAUUCAUUAUGUGGGUGUAGUCCUUCUUCUCGUAGGCUCUGGAAGGGUCGAAAUACACGGCGUGGGAGACUCGCAGGUAAAGAACGAUAAGGAGGACGUGCCCGUUGCUGCGGGGAAAAGACACCUCAAAUUAUUCUCCAUAUGAGCGAGAAGGAAUGAUUGAAAUGUACGAAAGGGUUGUCCGGAACUGACUUACUUUGGAUGAUAAGGCAGGAGGACAAUUUCCUGGUCCUUAUUCUGUACCAUGAAGUUUUGGAGGUAGUCCCUAGCAGUUUCACUCUCAAAGUCGCCGAGACUCAAGAAAUACUCGUGCAUGCAGUAUAGAUCCGCCACACAGAUUUGCGAGACUUCUUCUCUCUUCAUGACGGAGCUCAUAUGUAGUGCAAAAAGGCGGACGAUUGUAAAAUCGAGCCGCCUUGUCAGAAACAUCUCAAAGAUAUGGUCAAACCGCAGGAAGAACACCUCCGCGGGCCGUGUGUCGACGUAGCACUUCCCCUCAGUCACACGAGCCGCGUAUGUCGGAUAUCCUGGAUCCUUUGAGGCUAGUAGGCUUUUCUCAGUCGACAGCACAUGGUCGUGCAGUCUCCUGAGAUCCCCUCAUAGUGCCUCCUACGGUUUCGACGGUAGCAUCGGAUCGCCCGUGAGAUGGAACAUGGCCGCACCUUUCACGGGUACAUGCUCUUCGGAAUCCAUCAUCUGGCUGCGAUGUGCUCUAGCUUGUUUGGAGGCAGCUAUCUUCCCUGAUAUCUUCCUCUCCUUUUUCUUGGGCACACCUUCCAGACCCUUCCUUAACCCCUGCCCCAGUGUUCCCGGGCUAAGCACUGUACGACCCUCGGCUAGUUGAGCCUGUGUUGAGGCAACAUCUUCAGGUGUGUCCUGUGAGGAUUUCAUGAAGAGAGACUUUUUGCAAUCCCUGCUACGACCUUCCUGCCCGGGCAGAUCAUCUAUAUCCUCAUUAGCAUGCUGAUAGCCCGAUUCGUCAUAUGGUUGACUCAUCAUAUUUACGUCACAGUCAUACGCGUUUGUAUUGAGGAAACCCAUUGGGUCGACCUCUGUCUCAUCAUCCAUUCUAUGUUGUACAGGACCGAUUACAUUAGCCAGUACUAUUGCACCCCCUUCAUCACGUCAUCCGCCGCUCUCACCCGACACUACAUGAGCUGGUAAUUGCGUAGGCGGGGUGGUGGUCUCUGCACAUGGUUGUUGAUGUGUGGUUAUUGGUGUGCUCUCGGCCGGCUCCACAUGAAUAAGAUUCUUCUGCCAUAGCAGCACCCAACCCUUGCAGUUUCCAAUCCACGGCGGGGUCUCAUCGUCCUCUCCCACAGGCUGUACUGGAGGAGGCAAAUGCUCAUGCCCCGAUGUCACACUGGACAAGUUAACUCUGAAGUGCCCAACGGGGAUCGGGUGGUUGUGGAACAUGGGUUGCAAGGGAUUCAUUAUCACCCCCCUUCCCACGUCCACCUUCUGGCCUUUGAUCAAGUAGAGUAUGGUGCACGGGGUUUCUUCGGCCUACAAACACAUGUUGGUGCAACAUGUAAUUAAUUUGAGGCCAUCGAGCUCAGCCAAAGACGAAGGCCCACCUAGCACGCCAGAGACUCAGGACGGGCUACUAUGAGCGGGAGCGACCGCGAGAGGAAGCCCGGUUGCGUGAGCAAGUGAUGGUGCGUGGUGUUGUUGUUCACGGAGUUGCUCCCGACGAAAUUGGGCAACGGGAAAUCAUGUACCGUCUUGUCUGGAUUUUCCUUCGUCCAUAUGAUGAUAGCUGGAACCAAGCUAGUAGUGAAAUCAUUUCUGCAGGCAGUUACAGCUACAUUGACUGCCUGCUGUAGCAACUCAUUUUUCUCCUCGGCUGUUUUUUUCGCGUCCUCAGCUGCUUUUUUCUCGACCGCAAGCUUCACCUUCUCGUUGAUGUCCGCCUGACUAAACUUCUUUUUCUGCUUCUUGGCCUCCGGGCCCUUGUUGUAAUACACCUUCCACGUGGCACCGUUUCCAGCGCCGUGCACACGACCAUAUUGCGGCCACUGGCCCAAAGGGAGUCCCUUAAGUCCGUUCAAGGCCCGGUUGAGAGGUAGGGCUUUCGGCUGCAAGCUGUUGUUGCUUCUCCUGCAGAAGAAGCGUGAAUCGUUUAGGAAUGUGUAGUCGACUAGAUCUGGAGCUAAAUGUAAGGUGGUAAAAGAAUAAUUACCAGUAGUCUAAUCAAUUUCCUUGUGAUCUGGUCCAUGUAAAAAACCUUCUUUUCCUUGUCCCACUUGUAGCGGGCCCUGAUGAAGUCAUGCUCCAAGGGGUUGGUGAACUUCGCGAAGGGGUCUGGGAUACCCGCGACUUCACGUUCCGCGUCCUCCUUAUCCCAUAUGGGCCUUUUACCGAGGUAGCCACGGCUUCUGAAGCGAUGCUUCCUCGUGUUCCUUUGCUGAAGGCUCUUGAAUUUAGCAGCCUUAGACUUGGAUACCUCGGUAGCGCAAGUGUCCUUGAACUUUUCGAUCUCCUCUUCCAUAAGUGUCGAAUUUUCCUCCAAAAUCUUGGACAGGGGUUCCUUAGCUCAAUAGCCCAUUUCACCCUCCCUUUCCAGGAGGCCAAAUCAUUGCUGAACAUGCCCAUGGCGUGAUUGUUAAUCUUUUUCAUCCCCGGAUCAUCCCACGAUUCUUCUAUGUUAUCAUCCCUGUCGGGGAACUUGAAUCCCUUGUGCAACUUCGUCAGGAGCAAAUACGUCAAAUGUUCUUUACUCCUUAAGUCAUUGUCGACUUGGUUCCCAUAACACUUGCGAGGUUCUUCCGGCUCUAAUGGUUCAAACUUGCCAGGUGCCAUCUUUGUGAUCACCAGUCGUCCAAUCCCUGGUUUGUUAGGUUUCCGUAUCCUCUGCUUCUUCUACUUCUUCUUUUCGGUAGCGGCAUCAGCGCUGGUACCUUCCCUGCCGAUAUCUUCCUCGCCGGUAUCUUCCCCGCCGGUCUCAGCGCCGCCAUCGGUGCCGGCACCAUCGAUGUCAAUGUCGACAUCAUUACCAUCAUCGAGGCCGACCUAAAAACCUUGACUUUGCAUUUUCUUAGCAGUCAAAAAGUCCAGGUACUCUUGUUCACCCUCAUAAUCCAUCUCGUCUGCAUCUUGGUUAGAAGGCCCAAUUUCUUUGUUGCUCAACAUAGUUCCUAUGAUUAAGUGUCCUCGUUUAAUUCAAAAAGUAUGAAAAAAAGAGAAAUGACAUAAAAAAGAAAUCUAUGUUUGCUGGAAUGUCGUUUCCCAGCACUCGAUAUGCCUACUAUCUAGCACAAAUCAUGCCAAAAUUCAUGAAUUUUUUUGGCAUGACCUUUGCUAAAAAAUGGACAUAUCGAGCGCUUGAAAUUCACCGGAACAGAAAUGAAUAAACAUUCCGGCGUAACAUAGGCCACUCAGAUCAUUUACCCAGCACAUAAUCAUCAUGUCCAAAUGACAUGUCCAAAUUUCUAAAUAUGACAUGUCCAAAACAUCACAUGUCCACAUAUCACAUGUCCACUUCAAAUUUGCAUAUAAAAGGAAGAAAAAUAUAGAAUUUGCAAAAAAACCUAGCUAAAUUCAUAACUAAAUAUAUAACCUAAUUAACCAUCUGCCUAACUAAAACCUAACUAAAUUAACCAAAAAAUCUAGCUACCAGAUAGAGGAGGAGAGGUGGGGGGCUUACAGAGGGUGCAGGCCCGACGACGGCCGAGGUUGGGAGGGGUCGGGGUCGGGGUCGAGUGCCAGGGCCGGAGCCAAGAUCAGGGUCGGGAUCGGAGCCAGGGUUGGGGUCGGGGCCGGGGCCGUGGGCGAGCGCUGGGGUCAGGGUCAGGGGCCAGAGCCAGCGCCGGGGUCGGUCGGCGUCGGGGUCGGAGGCGAGCGUAGAGGCACGGCGAGGGCUCCCGCGGCGCGACGGGGGAAGAGAGUGUGUGGGGAUUUGGGGGAAAAGAGGCGGGAUGAAGAGAGGAGUGAGGAUUUUCGGGGUUAAGUGGGCAUAGUAGUAGCGCGUUUAGGUAAAACGCACUAUAGCUACUCCAGGUAGCUAUCGCAGUUUCGUGUAGAAACCGCUACUGCUACCUUGACUAGCUGUAGCUCUUUUCUCAAAAAAGCGUUGCUGCUAUAACUAGUACCUAUAUAACAAUUUUCCCGUUUGUUUCCUUCUAUUUUCUUUUCCUUUAUUUUCAAGAACAGUUAACGAAGGGAAUUGAAGGCAAUAUAUAUUGCAUCAUUUGACGGUUAAAUAUGUAUACUAAAUAGGAACAUAUAUAUUACAUCAUUGGACAUACGGUUCCUCAGCGUUGAUGUUUUCAUUUUUGAGUCAGCUUCUUUCCCUUCUUGUUCGUUGAAGAAUAAUUGAGCCCCUCAUUGUGACUUUGCCUUUUCCAUGGAGUACGAUUUUUCUUUGGUAAUGUAGUAUUGAUUCUUCUUUUGACGUAUACUUCAUCAUCAUCUUCCCUCAUUGGGCUGCCGUACUGAUCGUAGUCUUUCUCGUUGGCGACCCCAUCCAUUCCAAUGAUGUUCCUUUUGCCUCUCCUCACGACAACACGGCGGGGAUUGCGCGGGUCGGUUAUGAAGAAGCAUUGUGUCACGUGCUUAGCUUGUACCCAUGGCUCAUUUCUUGCGAUAGCGUCCACGGUAGUGCUCUUGGCGUCGGGUAUAGUCAUGGUAGUGAAAUUCCGGUUUUCUCUUUCGACAUUCUUAGCCCAUCUGACACAGAACAUCGUCGUGUUGUGCAGUCCAGAGUUGUCAAGCUCCCAGAUCUCCUCGACCCUUCCGUAAAAUCUUCCAGUUGCGCCGUUGUCGCUGCCGGUCAUGCAUUCCAUUGUCACCCCUGUGUUCUGAUCAUCACUGUCCAUAUCUUUGGCCUUCGUGUAGAACAUGUAUCCGUUGAUAUCGUAUGCCUGAUAGGGUAGGAGGUUGGGCGAGGGGCCAUAUGCUAAGGCGUAUAUGAGCAAUCCGUCCUUAGAGCCCUCCUCCGGGGGAUUAGCAAUAAUAUGCUCUUUGAACCAAUGCAUGAAAGUGGAGUUGUGCUCUCUAGUAACUUUGGCGUCCGUCCUGCAUACCCCCGGUCACGAUACUUCUUUGCAAUAAUUUCUUUGUGCAGUGCCACGAAAGGAUCUACCUCGUCUAUGUGUUGUAGUACUACCAAGUUUCCUAUGUCAAAGUCGCUGCAUCGAUCUGAGUAUGCCACGUGCAGUUCACUGCGACCGUUGGAGUGACCUUCUCCUUCAAGCCUCCCAUCGGGCUUGUUAAUGGGCAAACCAUCACUAACAUCAGGCGGCUGGUCUGCGCCAUAUAGAAAAUUCUCGCAGAAAGAGAUGCACUCUUGUGUCAGAUAGCCCUGGACGAUGCUUCCAUCCGGACGGGACAUGUUAUGAACGCAUCCUUUGAUAUUCCCAUUCAUCCUCUCAAACGACAUCUUGUUUUGCAGAAAUGACAGGCCCAAGUCUAUUAUGUCGUCCACAAUAUGGACACACAGAUGCACCAUCACGUCAAAGAACGCGGGCGGGAAGUACAUCUCAAGCUCAUUCAGUAUCACAACGAUCUCUUCAUGUAGCCUCCGGAGCUGCUUCAGACUGUUCAUCUUUCGAGAGAUGACGUCGAAAAAGUUGCAGAGACCAAUAAGCAUGUCACAGUCGUGCUUGUCCAUUAUCCCUCUAAGGCGACAGGUAGUAUCUGCAUCAUCAUCACAUGACAGUCAUGGGACUUCAUCCCGCUGAACUUUUUCUUGUCUGUGUCUAGAUAUUUGCUUAUCUUGCCACAGUAACCAGAACUAACUUUGACUCCGAUAAGGCACUUAAAGAAUGGAUCGAAUUCAGCCUGACUUAAGGUGAAGCAAGAAGGGGGGCAGUAAUCCUCUUUCUUUAUUUUCUUGCCCAUCUUCUCCCGUGCCUCUGUCUCCGUCUCUAUCUCGUCUGACUGUUUACGGGGCAACAUGUGCAGAUCUUCCAUGACAUUCAAAUCUUGCAAGUCUUUUCUUGCCUCCGGCCCAUCCUUUAUCUUAUCUGGCGUGUUCAUCAAUGUCGCGAGCAAACUCUCAAGGACAUUCUUGCAGAUGUGCAUUUGAUCAAGGCAAUGAGGUGUAUCGAGUUUGUGCGAGUACUCCAAGUCCAAGAACACAGACCACGGCUUCCCUACCUUCAGCAGUGGUUCCGGCGCCUUUUUCAUCGUCUUUCCCGGCGCGGGGCACUCCUUCUAGUUUUUCAACAGCUCAUUGAUUUCGGCACCACUCCACUUACGUGGAGGUCCUCGAUGCUCAGCGUGACCAUAGAAUAGAUCUCCAUGGUUUCUCCACGGGUCGUCCUGUUCGAGCCAUCUUAGAUGCCCCAUGUACACGAUUCCCCCAGACCUGCCAUCUUUCCUUGAUGUUAGCUGUUGAGACGUCGUAUCAUCCAUGCACUGCGUGCAUCCGCAAUAUCCAUGGCACACCUGGCCUGUGACAUAUCCGUAACUGAGAUAGUCAUGCACUGUCGUGAUCAGCACGGCUCUCAUGUAGAAAUACUCGCCUUUGCUGGCGUCCCAUGUCUUGGCCGGUGUUUUCCAUAAAGUGUCUAACUCCUCUUUAAGUAGCCCAAGAUACAAAUUAAUAUUAUUUCCUGGUUGUUUCGGCCCUUGAAUAAGCAUGCUCAUGUGAAUGUACUUCGACUUCAUGCACAACCAGGGGGAGGUUGUACAUCCAUACAAACACGGGCCAUGUGCUAUGGUUGGUGUUCUGGUUGCCAAACGGAUUCAUGCCAUCGGUACACGCGCCGAGCAUGAUGUUCCUUGCAUCACAUUCAAAAUACCGAUAGAAGCUGUUGAACGCUCGCCACUGGCUUCCAUCCUUGACGUGUCUCAGCUUCGGAUCAUCUCCAUCGUCGGGCUUCUUCCUCUCCACGUGCCAACGCAUUAGCUUUGCUUCCUUGGGAUCUAUGAAAUACCGCUAGAGACGGGGAGUGAUCGGUAAGUACCAUACAACUUUCUGGGGACAUUUCUUCCUGGCCUUCUUGUAUCGAGAAGCAUUGCACACCGGACAACUUGUUUUUUCCGCGUGCUCCUUCCGAUAAAUUAUGCAAUCGUUGAUGCAUGCAUGGUAUCUAACAUGCGGCAGAUCAAGAGGGCACACGAUCUUCUUGGCCUCAUCAACACUAGUAGGACAUAGAUUCCCUGCGGGAAGAACAUCCUUUAGGUACUUGAGAUGCUCAUUGAGGCUAGUGUUGGUCCAUUUGUUUUGAGCCUUCGUCUUCAAGAGUUGGAGCGUGAAACUCAAGCGGGUCACCUUAGGAUUGCAACCAUCAUACAAUGGAGUGUUCGAGUCUACCACCAGUUGCUCCAGCUUAGCCUCCUCUCUAGAAGCAGCUCUCUCAAUACUUGUCUCCUUGCGAAGCAGUGCUUGAACAUGAGGGUCAUGCACGAUUGAACUUAGUACCGACAAGCUCUGCUACGUGGAGUCCAUGUUCUCUCCGCCUCCAUGUCCGUCCCCUUCUCCGCCGCCAUGUCCGGCUACUUCCCCACCACCAUUAUCGAUCAUCUCUUCGUCUUGCCCCGUGUCAUCAUCCCUGCCCCGUCGGCAUCCUCAACAUCGUCAUCAUCAUCUUCAAUUAUCCACCGAGUAUAGCCAUCCAUGAAACCAGUCAUGAGCAGGUGCGCAUCGACACGACCAUCAUCAUAGGGGUCGAGCCAAACUAUUCCUUUGCAUUUUCGACACGGACAUAAAACCUCUGUCCGGUUAUUUUCUUUCAUGUCCCGCACCGCCGACCGCAACCACCUGUCCAACAUCGUUCCACUGACCAUCAUGAACAUCCGCACAGUAAUAAUAAACAAAUUGAUUAUUAAAAUGCGUGCAUGCAUCAAAUUCAUACAAAAAUUCGGCAUGACCUUCCUAAAAAUAGGACAUAUAUAGAUCUAGAGUUUUCUUGGAAUUCGUCAAAACGGAAAUAAAUCGACAUUUUGGCAAAAUAUAGGCAACUCAAAAGCACAAUUUGGCAUCAACACAUGCCACACACACAAUUUCCAUCAUAUUGCCCAAUUAUCAUAUCACACACACAUACACAUGUUUCCAUUUUGCAAAAGCAUGAAAUUUUAAUACACAAAGCUCUUCUUGACAAAGAUAGAUCUAGUUUGGGGGCAAAUAGGUCACUUAACUAAAUGCUACAUCUACCUAGCUAGCUAAUUUGGGAGGAGACAACUUCAACUAGUGGAGGGGGAAGGAAAAAGAGAAAGAAGAUGCAUUAAUGGAGGUGGUGUAGUUAGCUAGGAGUAAUGAAGAGAGAGAAAGGUAGGUAGAAGAGGGAGAGUAAUGGGGGGAGAAGUAUUGAGGAAGAAGAAGAGUGAGAGAGGGAGGAUGUGGGAGGUAGGGGAAAGGGAGGAGAGGAGAUGGGGAGGCAAGGUAGGGGAAAAGGUGGUGGGGCUGCAUCUUAGCAGUAGCGCGGGAGGAAAAACGCGCUACUGCUAAGAGCAUAGCAGCAGCGCGCUUUCCUCACACGCGCUACUGCUAAAUGGGCCAACUGUGUGGACAAUUUCAAAAUUAGCAGCAGCGACGUGACUAAAAAGCGUACUACUACUAUUGCAUUAGCAGUAGCGCGCUUUGUGACGCCGCGCUGAUGGUAAACUUAGGUUGGUGUGUACUGUCGGUCGAUUUUUGUAGCAGCGCGGUUUAGACAUCACGCGCUACUGCUAAAUUUACAUCAGUAGAGCGGUUUUCCUAAGCUCGCUACAGCUAAUUAGCAGUAGCCUCUCUUUUUGUGCCGCACUGCUGCUAAGAUUAUGUGUAUAAGGUUUUCCCUAGUAGUGAUCUGUUCUGUGUCAACUUAAGAGUGUGCUGAAGCUAGAUUAUUCCAAAGCUUGAAUUUUAGGCGUAGGUGAAGUGUCGUGUUGAUCACCCUCUGUCAGCACCCACUACUAGGGAAAAGCCUAUACAUAGAAUCUUACCAACAUCGUGCUUUAAAACAAGGCGCUGCUGCUACGUACCAGGAGCGCGUAGCGAGAAAACGCGCUGCUAACAUAGAUGUAGGAGCACUGUGCCUAUGAUAAGACGCACUACUGCUAUAAUUGCCACGACCCCGCCGUGAAGCUAGUUAUAGGAGCAGUGCCUUACUACAAAGAGCGGUACUACUACAGAUCAUAGCAGUAGCGCAUGCUCACUAUAACCGGUACUGCUAAGUUUACUACAAAAUUUAGUCCCACCUCGCUCCACGAACAGGGUUUUUACCACCUUAAAUAUCUUAGUUCUCAAACUAUCACAACCACUUGGUUUUCAUUGAACUCUAUGUGUAGAAUUUUUGGCUGCAAUAUGAGUCUUCUCCGGUUUCUAAAAACCGAUGAGGACUCAUAUUAAUAAUUCAGAUCGUACACAAAAAGAUCAUUGAUGAUCAAUGUAUUUUUUAUGUAUAUUUUUACAUGUUUACACAUAACAGUAGCGCGUUUUGCCUAUAAGGCGCUACUGCUAGGUCUUUUAGCAGUAGCGCAUUUCUCUAUAGCGUGCUACUGCUAAGUUAUUCUAUCUUCCCCAACCUACCGCCCAUCACUCUCGUCUCUCCACUCACACUCACUGGAUCUCCCCCCUCAAUCCCGCCGUGCCGGUCCUCCCCCGCCGGCCGCCAUCGCCUACCCCUUCUCCCUCUGCACCGCCGUCACCUCCUCCUUCUCCCUGGACCCGGUAAUCCUUCGUCGGCCGCCCUCCUCCCCAAGCCCUCCUCCUCCGUCCUCCCUCCACUCCUCCUUCGCCGCCGGCCGGCCCCUCCUCGCUCCGCCUUCCUCCUCCAUCCUCCUUCCUCCUCCAGUCGCCCCUCCUUCUCCCUCCUCCCUCCUCCAUCCACAAUCCCUCCUCCUUGCUAGAUCUUGAUUUAGUAGGCUAGUUCAUUGCAACACUUUGAUUUAGUUGAUAUGAUUUACUUGAUUUAGUAGGCUAGUUGAUUUAGAACAUUUUGAUUUAGUAGGCUAGUUGAUUUAGUUAAUUUAGUAGGAUAGUUGAUUUAGUUGAUUUAGAACAUUUUGAUUUAGCUGAUUUAGUAGGCUAGUUGAUAUGCAACAUUUAGAGAGACACACACUGAGAGAGAGAUAUGAUAGUUGAUAGUUUUUAGUUGAUAUGAUUAACUGAUUAGUAAAAAUUUAGACAUAGUUGAUAGGUUUUAGUUGAUAUAAGCCUCUGGCCAUAUAUAACACUUUGAUAUAGGAUAGUUUCUAGGGUUUAGAAUAGUCGAUGCUAGUUUGCUACGUUGGUUUGCAUGUUGAGCUUGAUGAUCAUCCCAUGCUAAGUUAUUGUUUUCUUUGCUCAUAUUGAUUUAGGAAAAUGGCGCGACCACCACCACCACCAUGUCGACUGUGCAAGUCAUGGUGUGGCAGCAGCCUUGCAGCUGGCAAGCUAUUCGACAUAUUCUUCCAACCGAGUUUUUGUCAUGCGGCGGUAAGAAAUUAUAUGAAAUGUAACAAGUAUUUUGUUUUUAGUGUUGGCAUUAAUGCAUUGUGUCAUUUUUCUUUUUGUACACAGAUCGUCCCAUGCAAUGUGAGGUUGAAAUUCAACAAUAUGACAGGAGACAAUGUGACCUUUGAGGCUCCUGGGGGCCCUACACUAUGGAGGUCGAGAAAGGACGCAAUAUGUCGCAAAUUGGAGGAGAUGGAUGGUCCCGUUUCCUCGCCCACAUGUGUCUUACUGGUGGUGAGUUGGUCAGCUUCCCCUGUUUUUAGUUAAGCUCUGCGUGUUCACGACCAUCGAUCAAUGGUAGCAGUUUAUCAUUGCUUGAGUUCUGCGACCAUAGAAAUUUCGCACUGCACGCUGAUUACCGCAAUACAUGGAACUGAGUUGAUGCUCAGUAUUUCACAGUUGACACCCGCACCACUAAUCAUGGAUAAUUUGUUUAUGUAGUUAAUUUCUCUUUGUGAUGAAUUUGAUGUAGUGUUAUUUUGUAUUCUAGAUGGUUGCUCUCUUGGAAAUGAGUGGUCCAUGGUAUUCAUCCACCCUGAACCUUUCUCGCUUUUAUAUUUUGUCUGUUUUGGGUUGUUUCAUACAGAGAGACCUGACAUUGCGGUUUCUUUCAUUAUGACAGGACCUUCUAAAGGGAGGAAAACCACCCUGGAAGUCACAGGCUUUGGGAGGGAAGCCCUACACAUCUUGGUUCAGGUGAGUCAUUGAUCCCCCCCGCCCCUCUAUCCAUCUCUCUUGCUUUGAGAUGUUUUGGCCAUCAAGCCAUUGAUUUAGUGUUUGGAUCUGUUAUUUAAUUGCAUGUCUGGUAGUUUCAAACACAAUGUUGUAUGCUCUUUGUAAUUUCUGGUUUCCUAACUAAGCAGUCCAAGCAUGUAUCUCUAAUUUGUGAUGGAUGUGACAUCCACUUUCUAGUGAAUUUGUGAUGCUGACCAAACGAAAAUACUAGUUGAACAAGAAGGUCGGUUCGAUGCUGUUUGCUUGUACGAAUGAGUCCAAGCAGUUUGUGUUAAUUUGUUUGAACUUGGCGGGUUGCACCUUUAUCCCAUUACAGGGUUUGAAAUGGCUCCUCCACCUUUCUUGGGCUAAUAAAGUGCAGGAUUCUCGCAUUACCUAUAUUCAUGUUAGCUGGCAAUAUAUACUCCCUCCAUCCCAAAAUAAGUGUCUCAACAUUAGUGACACUACCAAGCGCGAGCACUUUGGUGUCUGUGACCAUACGCUAGCUAAAUGGCCGAUCAUCUUUGGUUCCCUCUCUCCCUUUUGGUUUUUAGAAUAGCAUGCCAUUGUUUUUGUUGUCCCCUGGUAGUAUAAGGCAACACUUGGUGUGUGAGAUUGUCUAGUGCCUUUUUAGAUUAGUCACCAUAAAACAUUUUGUUUGUGAAGUUGAUGCUGCCAGAACUUCGAUUAUGUGAGGGUCUGUCGUUACUUAAGGCCAGCUUAUGUACGAGGGUGUCUUUUCGUUUUGGGUUUUGAGCAUAGCAUGUUUUUGUUUUUGUCAUCUCCUUAUGAUAGUACCAGCCAACAGUUUUGUGUGAGAUUGACUUUCUAGCUUCUUUUUUUAUAACUGGCUAUAGAACAUUUAGUUUGUGAAUCCCUUUCGGGGGUUCCUUAGGGACCGAUUCCCUCUGCACAGAUUGACUGAACAUGUCUGGUCAUUGUUUCUUUAACUUGUUGCAUGUGUAUUUGAAGCUCUGACUUAGAAGUUUUGUUCAUAUGGUCGUCAGGUUAUGUGCCAUGGAAUGGACGGAUGAUGGUGAGCGACCACCAAUGGAUAUGGUCGAAUCCACCUUGCCAGUCUCGAGAGUCCUUGGAAGUGGACGGUGGCCAUAUUGGUUGAAGGCAGGGGGAAAUCGCUCGACGUAUUUCAGCAAUCAACAGGGCACUUUCAGGCUUGUUUGCCAUUGGAUGGACUUAGAGGGGUCUGUAGAGAGAUCCCAAUCUUAUGGUCUAAGUGUCUGUGCUGAAUGGUGAUACAUUCUGAGAUACAAGAAGACCCUGCCGAUCUAAUCUUGAAGAAUACAAAUUGGCAUUAUUGUGUUUAUUUUCACUUCUCUCUCUUGUAGGCUGAGGUGUCUCAGAACUUUGUAAAAUUGAUGGGAUGGUGAUAUAUGUUGGCCUUGUCCCAGGGAUUGUAUUGUGUGGCACGGAGGGAGUUAUUAUUGUAUUUUCGGUCAGUGUCAAGAGAUUGGAAUGAAUGUGUGCGGCUCAAAUGGUAGUAAUUCUUCAUGAAUGAUUCAUUCAAUAGUUAUAUGUACAAUAAUAACUUGUGCAUGAAAACAUAUCUAGUAUGUUGAUGUGGAAAGCAAUUGCUUUCUUGCUUUCAAAUUUUCCAUUAGAAAAGGAAAUUGGAGUGGUUGUGCUUGUGUAUGCAUCAACAUGUGAGCAAGCAUAGGAUUGCUUGGCUGGUAGUUAUUGUUGUCCCCGACAAUCAUGUCGAAACUGGAGGUUUGGAUUUGGAUUCUUCUCUCUUUUGUUGCGUAUUACUACUUGCAACAAGAUUAUGUGACAAGGAAGUAGAAGAUAAUUGAUUCGUGGUGCAUUUUAAUCAUGUGAUGAUUAGUAGUUUUGAUUGAUGCUUGAUAAUGGUUCAACUUGAUCAUGUUCUAAUAUUGAUGAUCACUAGGUUGUUUUGAUCAUUCUUAUUUCGAGCAGACAGUGUUGAAUCGAAUAUGUGUAAUAUUAUAUGCUACCAUAUCUGUCACAAGUAACAAAACAUCUUAUAAUUAGAAACCGAGGAAUGCAAAAGAGCAACCUGUUUUCUCUUCUUAGUUAUCUUCUCUAAUCUAUGUACUAUUCCUAAUAAUAUGUAAAAUCUGCUAGGGAAGAUCAGUUUUUGUUUUGGGAAUCAGACACUUCAAGUUUGUUAGGAGGAGAGAGAAAGGAGAGAUCUCUGCAAGUUUGUUAGGAGGUGAGAGAAAGGAGAGAUCUAUGCAAGUUUGUUAGCAGGAGAGAAAGGAGGGAUCUCGGCAAGUUUGUUAGGAGGAGAGGCAAAGUGGAGAUCUGAGUGACGUGAUCCUUGGAUUCACAUUACAUAUGAAAAAAAUUUGGAAACAGCCAACCGAUUUGCAUCCUUGGAUUCACAUUAUAUAUGAAAAAAGCUGGAAACCGCCAACCGUUUUGCAGUUAACCCUCUCGCUUAUCCCCCCUCCUCGGAAUCAGGCAAUCCCCAUUUAAUUGCUACCGUUAAAUAUAUCGCCCCUCCUCCUCCCUUUGUUCAUUUGUUCCAUCCAUUGGCUGGCAUCCAUCAAAGGUCUGUCUUACCUUACGCCACCUCACCGAUCCGUGGCCUCCUGGUUCUUCUAAGGCCAUCACUAUAUGUACUAGAAAUAGUGAUACAUCUGUGUGCGGGGUGCGCGUGCGACUUAGGACUUUGGACCUUGGGUGACGACGGCGGCGACGGGUGUGAGGAACUUGGACGUAGAUAAAGCAUCACAAGCCUAUUAAGCCGCCAACGGGCAGCAGAAGCCCAACAUUGACGACACAGAUGAGGAGCCCUGCGGCUAGGGAGGCGCGGAUGAAAGAUGAGGAGCCUUGCCGCUAGGGAGGCGCAGAUGAAAGAUGAGGAGGAUUGAGGCCUCCGACGCCCCUCCAGUCCUGCAUGCUGGCGUGGUGAGUAACGAGGAGGAGGAGGCAUUUGUUUGUGCUCUGGCAGUGCGGAGGCACUGGCCGGCCGGAGAUGAAGGGCUCGGUUGGCGGGGGUCUUGUCUAUUGGCUCCCAGUCCUAGCGGCGAGCGCGCAAGGUCGGAGAUGGAUUUGGUUGGGUUGGGUUGGAAUUGGAUUGGAUUGAAAAGAAAGGGAAGGGAAGAACGUGUGUCGGCAAGGAGGAGGAAGAAGAAGAUGUAAUAAGGAUGUACGGACUCGAGUUGCCUGCUGACGAAACGCGUGCGUUUGGGUGGAGAUUCGCGCGCGCAGGUGUUUCAUCUGCGCUAGUUACAAUAUCCCACUAUAGAAUAGUGUAGUACUUCGAAGUAGAAAGCCGUGUUUAAUUCUAACACUCAUCUUGAGGAGUCACUCUCAAAGCAUACAUAUGCUGACUCGUGACGUGACAAAACACAUACCGACUGCUUGAAAAGAACUCGUCUUGGAGACUAAACAUGGACAAACGAUUGUGGUGGUAAAUCGAUGUUUGAUGAGAGCAAGCUAGAGACAACGAAACGCCUAGAGACAACGAAAUAUGGAGAAAUGAUUGUGGUGGUACAUAUCAUGGUUUCAAUAUCCCGCAAAAAAAUUGCUCUUUCCUCUAUUGUGUACUUUUUUCUGUGCAUUACUGGUCUCCCGCGUAGUAAGACCGUGUGAAAGCAGCAGCGCGGAAUGGUCUCUCGCCUAGGCUAGGCUACCUGUGACUGAGACGGAUCUGCGUUUACAUAUAGGAUCACUUUUAUUGUUACCGUCUGUCAUAGCUUCAUGUAAAAUGCUAAAGGUCAAUUUGAUUUUCUCAAGGGAAAAGUGUACUUUUAGUCCCUUAACUUUCAAACUGGACAACUUGCACCUCCGUCUCUUGAAACCAGACAAUUUCAGUCCCUUGUCUCGGCUGUUCCAGUUACUUCUAUCCCACAAAUUUAGAUCAAUUCUAUCUAAUUAACCUUUUUGGUUUUGGGAGUAAUCUCACCACAUAAGAGCAUCUCUAGCCCCUCAAACGACCCCUCAAACCUGAACUCUUUAUAUUUUGAAGAGUUAAAUAAAAAUAAUUCCUAGCCAAACUCUUAACUUAAUUCCCUAAAACAUUUUCCACACUAAUUUAUUUCAACAUAUAUUGAAACUGCUCGAUUGAAAUAGAAAUUUAAACAAUGAUAGGAUAAUUCAGUACAUUGUAUAACAUCAACUUAAACUACUCGAUUUGAAAUUAAACUAAAUAAAACUAAUCUUCUUUGGCCAGGAUUUUCUCCCAAUCCGCGUCACCUACGCCGGAGCCUCUGGAGCUGGGGUCACAGACAAAAAUCUAUCUCUACCGCUCCAUCCUCAUCGCCGAGCCCCCACCGGACUGUCUAGCCUCAUCGGUGAUAUUUUUGUAGAGCUCGCAAACCGGGAGCUCCUCAACGACGAGCUCCGAAUGAUUUUCUUGGAGAUCGGCCAUAUACGCCUUGUCGGUGUGUGCGGCCUAGAUCUGCUCAAAGGCCUCCUUAUUAUCCUGCACCUCACGGAGGGAGACUACUUAGGUAUGGACGAAGAUGAGUUACGAGACAUCGCUACUGCUGAGACGAAUCUUUAUCUUCUUAUGGCUGCUGUGGAGGCUAGGUCUUGUUCAACUCUUAAAAAUUUAAGGACUUGUACGUUUUCUUAUAUCAUGAUAAAUGUUUAUUAUUCAUGCUAGAAUUGUAUUAACCGGAAACUUAGUACAUGUGUGAAUACAUAGACAAACAGAGUGUCCCUAGUAUGCCUCUACUAGACUAGCUCGUUAAUCAAAGAUGUUAAGUUUCCUAGCCAUAGACAUGUGUUGUCAUUUGAUGAACGGGAUCACAUCAUUAGAGAAUGAUGUGAUGGACAAGACCCAUCUGUUAGCUUAGCACUAUGAUCGUUUAGUUCAUUACUAUUGCUUUUUUGAUGACUUAUACAUGUUCCUAUGACUAUGAGAUUAUGCAACUCCCUAAUACCGGAGGAACACUUAGUGUGCUAUCAAAAGUCACAACGUAACUGGGCAAUUAUAAAGAUGAUCUACAGGUGUCUCCGAUGGUAUUUGUUGAGUUGGCAUAGAUCGAGAUUAGGAUUUGUCACUCCGAUUGUCGGAGAGGUAUCUCUGGGCCCUCUCGGUAAUGCACAUCACUAUGAGCCUUGCAAGCAGUGUGACUAAUGAGUUAGUCACGGGGUGAUGCAUUACGGAACGAGUAAAGAGACUAGCCGGUGACGAGAUUGAACUAGGUACGAUGAUACCAACGAUCAAAUCUCGGGCACGUAACAUACCGAUGACAAAUGGAACAACGUAUGUUGUUAUGUGGUUUGACCGAUAAAGAUCUUCGUAGAAUAUGUAGGAACCAAUCUGAGCAUCCAGGUUCCGCUAUUGGUUAUUGACCGGAGAUGUGUCUCGGUCAUGUCUACAUAGGUCUCGAACCCGUAGGGUCCACGUGCUUAACGUUCGAUGACGAUUCAUAUUAUGAGUUUAUGUGAUUUGAUGUACCGAAGGUUGUUCGGAGUCCCAUAUGAGAUCACAGACAUGACAAGGAGUCUCGAAAUGGUCGAGACAUAAAGAUUCAUAUAUUGGAAGGCUACAUUCGGACACCGAAAUGAUUCGGGUCGUUUCAGAUAAGUUUCGGAGUACCGGGGGUUACCGGACCCCCCCCCCCUCCGAGAGGUUAUUGCACCUCAUGGGCCUAAUGGUGGAAGAGAGGAGGCAGGCCAAGGUGUGGCGCCCCCCUAGCCAAAACUGAAUUGGACUAGGGCUAGGGGGCCGCCCCCCUUUCCUUCUCUUCUUCCUCUCCUUCCUUCUUCUCCUACUAGGACUAGGAAAGGGGGGGGGGGAACCUACUCCUACUAGGAGUAGGAUUCCCCCCCUUGGGCGCACCCCUUGUGGCUGGCCCUCCUCCUCCACCCCUCCUUUAUAUAUGGGGGAGGGGUGCACCCCAUAGACACACAAGUUGAUCUUUAGCCGUGUGCGGUGCCCCCCUCCACAGUUUUACACCUCAGUCAUAUUGUCAGAGUGCUUAGGCGAAGCCUUGCGUCGGUAACUUCAUCACCACCGUCACCAUGCUGUCGUGCUGACGAAACUCUCCGUCGGCCUCAAUUGGAUCAAGAGUUCGAGGGACGUCACCGAGGUGAAUGUGUGCAGACCGCGGAGGUGCCGUGCGUUCGCUACUUGAUCGGUUGGAUCACGAAGACGUUCGACUACAUCAACCGCGUUACUAAACGCUUCCACUUUCGGUCUAUGAGGGUACGUAGACACACUCUUCCCUGCUCGUUGCUAUGCUUCUCCUAGAUAGAUCAUGUGUGAUCGUAUGAUUUUUUUGAAAUACUAUUUUCCCAACACAAGCGCUACCCGCGCUUCCACGCCGGCGUUAACCUCGUCUAGGAGGUCGAGGAGCACCUCGACCGGGCCCUCACCUGCUUUAACGACCUUGCCCGUUUUGGCAGGGUCGAUUCCCCCAUUGCCUGACUCGUUUCCGACGAGUACGAUGGGUUCCAGAACACAUGCGGUCUGUAUGAUCUCGAUGAGGGCAAGGGGCUCGUGCUCGUGCUGGAGCUUGAUAAGGCGCACUUCCAUCUCGACACCAACUACGAGCUGGAUUGUGAGACUGCGGGGCAAGUAGGGGGGUGAUGAAUCUGGAAGUGCAGGUAUUUCGAAGAGACCUGGUUAGAUUUGUUGCCCCCAUUGCUAGAUGCUCCAUGUCUACUCCUCCGGUUCCUUGGUCAUUAUUGGGUUGUCUCAAUUUUCAGUUUGGAACACAUAGCCGUGAAUUUUUUAUUGAUAUAUUUGUAGGGAAGAUUUGAUGUAUUAUAUCUAAGCUCUCGCGAGCAGGCCUGAUUUUACAGAUGUUUAGAUGUAGCGGUUCCUGUUCAUUUACAACACAACCCUAUGAUCUAAUUUAUAUUUCUUUGAAUUUAUGAAAUGUGUCCUCUCAUGUUGCCGAUUCAACCUUGGAAGUUAUGGUAGAGACGAAAGGUGGUUUGGUCCAUCUGGUGGAUGGGCCGGAAGUGGAGAUAUAUAGUAUGAGUGGACAUAGCAGGAGCAUUAUUGGAGAUAGCAGGAUCACCCACAUAAUCAAAAUGCAAUGGAUUAAAUGAUGAAUGAUGUAGGGAUGUAGAAGGUGAUCAAUGAAAACUUGGAUGGAAAGGUCUGCUAGAGUGGUGAAUUGUGUUUCUUGAAAAAGAGAGGAAGAUACUUGUGUUUGUGGUCUCGUGGAAUAUCAUACAUAAUAUGCAUGUUUAUGGUAAAAAAACUUGAGCAAUAUUUAUAUUCAUUUGUUGGCCCGUGGCAACGCACGGGUGUUGAACUAGUGAGACAUUAUGGUACAACUCAAAAGAUUUUGAAACGAGGCAAAAGACUUGCCAUUUUCAUUGAUUAAGAAGAAGAUAAUUGCCCGGUUAAUUGACGGAAAACCGGGCUAAAGCCGUUACAACACAACCCACAUGACAUGGGCACCACCAGCCAACCUAGCCACUGACAUGGAACAAAAGCCACGACGGCGCAUGCCAACAAAUGACCACACGCGCAAGCAACCGACAACUCCGACUUUGACGACGCAAGGGAAAUAUGCAGGACUUGCGCCGACCAUGCCCCACCGCAGACGACCACUGAAUGCCUGUCAUCAUCACCACCUGGACUCGCUCCACCGCAGCUCCGACUUCAAAGCAACCAGCAACCACGGAAGAGCACCUCGGACACGCCGGGAAGAACCGACUACCGAAGACCAUGCCGCGACCCAAGCUCCAUUCGACGCCAUCAUCAUUGCCAAACAGAAACCAACGCCCUACCUCAGCAGACCACGCGGCAAAGAAGCCGCCCUCCACAACAAGGAUGUCGUCAUCCACUAGUGUCGGUGUACAAAAGUAGGGGUUCUUCUUUUGACCCCUUUACUUGUGCACAAGCAGUUAGAGCCGCGCGCCACUGCCACACUUAGCAGGGAAGAAGAGGGAAGCUGGAGAGAAGCCGAAACACGAGGCAACCAAGGCAAUGCCAAGACCAGAAACGCAAGAGAGCAAGAGGGCCAGGUGGACUCCCUCGGCAAGAUCCUUGCCGAGGUAGCCUCUGUAGCCCUGGCAAGAGCCUUGCCGAGGCAACUUGCCCGAUGCCAGCGGAGUGAGCCACCCUUGAGCCCACAGGCUCCAACCCAACCAACUACAUUGGAACCAGGGCUCAGGAGGCGCCUCUGUGGUGGCAUGCAAAUCUUCGUCAAGAUCAUAAACAUGUGAGAUCAGAUGAGGACCAGAAGAUGGCGACCCUCGGCGGGAUCCUAGCCGAGGAAAUCCACAAGAACCCGAAGACCCUUGCUGGAGACAACUGCAAUGCCACAACAGCACCCUUUCCGGGCCCCCGGCAAUACCUUUGGCGAGGGCAUCAGCAGGACCACUGCCAGGCCCGCGCCUGCCAAGACUCCACCAUCGUCCCCAAGAAGCUGCUAGCUCAACCAGCUGGGAAGGCACCUGCGUGGCGAUGGGCAGCCUCUACACCGACUCAGCAAGCACCUCCAUGGCGGCAUGCGACCCUUCGUUAAGGCUCCACCACCGCGCCAGCCCAGCAGCCAGCCAACGUGGCGCCAUAAUGCCUCAUCAUCUCGGACGCGUGUCGAGGCCAGGCGAGGUGGCGACAGCUGGGAUGUGCUUCCCUGGCAUCCCCGAUAAAGCAAGGAGGGCACGUCGGCAGCGCGUUAUCCUACGGUCCAAGAGGAUAGGAUUGUCAACUGUAGACCUUUUCACCUCCUGUGUGCCACUGUGGCAACCCCUUUUUCUUAUAAAAGAAGGCCCGAGGAGACCAGGAGAGGGAUUCGGCUCAUUUGGGCAAGUUGCACCCCGUAGCUAGCUCAAGAACACAAGAACACUCAAAUACAUCCACCAAAGCAGGACUAGGGUAUUACGCAUCUUCGCGGCCCGAACCUAGGUAAACGAUCCGUGUGCUUCCUGUCAGACCCGCUCUUCGCACAACCCCGCACCCGCCAACCAUAGAAGGGAUCCCGGUGACCCCAUAGGUGUCGUUUCCACCGACAACCAGUCUCCCAGUCGUAGACUACUCCGAGACGAUGCCCCCAAGGAGGAGAAAGACGUGAAGACGCCUCCAUCGCCCGAUCCGGAGGAUUUGAGGUUUCCCUCCGGAGCCAAAGCUAUGGGGAGUAGGAGCGCACCUCCAUGAUGAUGCUUCCAAGAAAGAUCGCGGCACCCGCGGGCACCGCCGUCGCUGGCUCCGGUGGAGACCGAAGCAAGGAUUUCUCCCGGAGAUGUGCCUACCACCCGCCACCACUGACCGCUGCCAACAAACCACGACCCCUACCGAGGCCGACCUCACUCAGGCCACGUGAUCCCACGAUCCACCGCGACCAGAAACGCAACACCCCCCAGCCGAAGCCACCGUCCACCACCGCAGCACCACCGUGACUACCACCACUGCAGCAACCAACGCCGCAUUGGGAUGCGUAGCACCAAGAUUGAAGCACAACCUCCCACCAGAUCCAAAGACAAGCAUGUUCUCCCUCCGCAGCACACCGUGCACUCCAGAGCAGCAUACCCACCAUGCCGAGCCGCCGGUCGCCACGCCCAACACGCGCCAGCCGCCGCCGCGCCCGGCCGUCGAUUUGCACCCCACGCACACUCCCAGAGCCGAGCCGCCGCUGAGCGCAUGCGUGCCAUCCAUGCCCAGGCCACGCCGGGAGCCCGGACCGAGGUCGUCGCCCCGGCGCCCCACCCGCCAAGCACCACUUUUGGAUCUGACGGUAGAACGGACGGCAAGCUAGGUAGCCCCGAUGCCAAUGAAGGCUGACCGGAGGUCAGCAACCACGGACGCGAAGGAAGGAGGCGAAGGGAUGGACGGGACACCACCCAAACGGAAGCUGGAGCAGCCUAGAUGCCGCCCGUCCGAUUCGCUCCCCCAGCACUCGAUCUGGACCACAAGGUCCAGAUCCGCGACGCCCGCACUGGGGGAACCCCAGCCAUAGCUGCACCUAGUUGGAGCAAUCAUCGAGCAUCGCCACCCCAUCCAUCGCUCCACACCGCCCCUAGGACCAGCACUGCGUGGCUCGGGCUCGCCUACGAACACCGAGGCACGAGCAGGAAGUGCCCCGCCGCCGCCGUCCGUCGCGCAGGCUUCACCUGACGACCUCCUCUGGCGGCAGCGAGGUGGCCGACGGAUCUAGUGGGGCGAGCUACGGUGGGGAAAGGGACCGCAGGCCAAUUAGGCCAGUGCAUGCCGUGCGCAGCCCAGGAUGCCCGUCCUGAGGUGGAAGGGGUGCGGGCGGAGGUGGGCUGCUCUGCGAGGCCCAGGCCUGGCCCGUCUGUAGCGCGGCCAGUACUUAACUGGCUAUGGAUCCGUCGGGGCACCUCAGACAGCUCGUUAGGGUUUCCAGCCACUCCAUCGGAGGUGCGGCGCUUCGGUGGAUCCGCACGCUCUCUCUCCCCCCUCUCCUCCCCCACCUCUCGAUCGAUCCUUCGUCGAGGUCGUUGCCAUGGGUUCCAAGGCAGAUCGGCGUGUGGACAAGCGGGCGGAGACGGAUCCGGAGGAGGAGCAGCGUCGCGAGCGAGAUCUGUGCACCCAAGCGAAGGCGCGUGCGGCGGAGCGCGCCGGUGAGGAGGGUGGUUGGGGGCCUCCCCCUCCCUGGUGGCUCAAGGAGCAGGAGUGGAAGAAGAAAAAGAAGGAGGAAUACAAGAAGAAGGGGUUGGAGCUCAAGCGCAAGGAAUCGCUCCACCCCUACAGCGGCGACCGCGUCGGCGAUUGCUUCACCAAGCAGAAGCAGAAGAAGCACAAGCCGGGGAUGCCGGCGGCCUCCAAGCCCCCUCCUCCUAGGGCACGACGGCGGAUCCCAUCCCCGUCGAGGAGGCGGAGGGGCAAAUUAAAGCCAUGAAACAAGUAGCUGGCAAAUCCAAAUUGGAACUAGCUCAAUUCGCAGAGUGACAAGCCUAUUAUUCGCCGGAGUGCUUCAGAUGUGGGCGUACGGGCCACUACCAGAACGAGUGCUCCUUCAAGCAGCUCUGCGUGCUUUGCAGCAAGGAGGGCCACACAUCGGCCUACUGCCCCACGCACGGCAAGCAGUUGGUGCUCCAGACCAUGGGCCACGCAUUCGCUGGUGGCGGCUUCUUCUGCCUGCAGUACCCCGAGGAGGCCGAUGCGGUGGAGGCGGGUUUGCUGGGCCCUAACACGGCCCUGGUGUCGGUGGCGCCCGGCGUGCUGACCAAGGAGAUCCCGGAAGCGGAGCUCCCUCAUCUCUUCGAGGGAGAGUGGGACUGGUAGGUGGCACCUUUCGACGUGGACUGUUUCUCCAUGGCCUUCCCAGAUCCGGUCAUGUUGAGGAUGGCGAUGCGUAGUGGCAAACUUUUCCUCUCCAUCAACAACAUCACGGCUGACAUCCGCGACGUGAUCCUUGCUGAGCCCAAGGCGCUGUCCAUGGCGGAAGUGUGGAUGAAGAUGUGGGGCAUCCCCCCGAAGCAGCGUGCGUGGAGCGUCUGAUGGCGGCCACGACCAUGAUUGGCCGGCUGCUGGUGGUGGAUGAGCUAUCGCUGAUCCGCUCGUGCCCGGUGCGCAUGCGUUUUGAGUGCCGUGCGUCGUCCAAGCUUCGUGGAUCCGUGCAAAUCUGGUUCAAUGGCGAGGGCUACAAGAUCAAGCUCGAGCUGGAGAUGGACCAACCUCGCGAGGCGGCUCCUGCCCUCCCACCCCCUCCCCCUCCUCCCAGCGGUCGUGGUCCGGGUGACCAAGAUAAGGACAAGCACAAAGACAAGGACCAAGAGCAUGAUGCCAGCAUGGAGGAGGACGACUCCAUCGACACGGUGGCGUGGGACAAGCUUGGGAUUUCUGCGUCGGGCCCUGGUGCACCGGUGGAGGGGGCGGCGGUGCAGUGGGCUGAUGUGGAGUUGGGGUCUGCGGGGAUGACGCUCUCGAUCCCCAACCAGUACGGGUCAAACCUGGGGUCGGUAUCUUCAACUCCCAUGUGUGCGGCCCCUGCUGCGUCUGUCGUGGUUCUAAGUCUGACAGUAGUGUAGGGGGGUAAGUAUGGAGAGGCAAGAUCUUAGCUAUGGAGAAGUUGUAAGCACGCAAGGUUUACGAGUUCAGGCCCUUCUCGGAGGAAGUAAUAGCCCUAUGUCUCGGAGCCCGGAGGCGGUCGACUGGAUUGUGUGAGUAUGAGUUACAGAGGUGCGAACCGUUGUCUCGGAGGAGGGGGGUGGCUUAUAUAGAGUGCGCCAGGACCCCGGCCAGCCCACAUUACAAAGGGUUCAAUGUACAUUAAGGCAGGGCAUUACUGGUAACACUAGUAAUAAAGUGCUAUGAUGACCAUAAAAGCUACUUAAUGACCGACUGUUAGCAUGCGGGGUGACUUUAGGUCUCCUGGCCGUCGAGUGGUUGGAUCUUAGUCGAGUGAUUGCUUCUUGGUCAAGUGUCUUCGAGUCUGUCGAGUGGAACACCUCCAAGUCGAUUGAAAGGUGAUUUCUUCUAGAGAUGUCCUUGGGUAGGGCAGUUAGGACAGGUCCAUGACCCUACCCUAGGUACAUAGCUUCAUCAUUAGCCCCCGAAUGGAUCGAGGUUUGAGUGGGGAAAGAGUUGAGGACCUCUCUGACUCGUUUUUCAUGUCGUGAGCAUAUCUUAUUCCGGAUCAACGAACCUGAGUGAUGACAGCAACUUCCUUUUCAGUCGCCUUGAUCCAUUCUUAAUUCUUCGUUGAGUGAGUUUCUUUACCUGUGAGGCUCCGAGUGACGGUGCGGAGGAGAUCUUUUAGUCUGACAAGUUUGUUUGCUGCCCGUAGAUUUCAUGGGAUCUGAAUUUUGGGAAGCACGCGGGACGGGGGAGGCCGCAGUAAUCGGAUGGGAUAGAGCGGAGACGCCUCGAUCCCCGUGCUGCCUUUUUCGUCACAUACCGCGCGCGCGAUCGUUACGGGAUUUGACAGAGCCACCUGGGCCUACCCGUCAGCCACUCGAAAGCGGCCUCAUAUAAGGCGUUGGACCGGAGUCUCCCGAACAGUGCGUUCCCAUUUCCUCUUCUCCUCUUCAUGCCCCUCCGAUGCGCUCGCUCUCGCCCCAGCAUCACCGCUCCGUAUGCGUCUCGCCGCGACAAUGGGGAAGGAGAAGACGGCGGCUCUGGAGCAGGCAAAGAAGGCGACGGCGAGGUCGAGGGGGAAGGCGACCAGCCGGGGCGGAUCUUCCUCGCGGACCGGCCUGCCGAAGGGCUGGAUCCACUCGAGGAUCACCCAAGAAGACCUCGACAACCUGGCCGAAGAGGGGCUGAUCCCCUAUGACUCGGCGCGGCUUCCGGGGAAGGAAUCUAAGCCGCAACCUCGGGAGGGUGAGCGUGUUCUUCUUGCCACCCACGUCGACCGUGGAUUUUCCUUGCCUCCUCACCCUUUCUUUCGAGGGUUUCUGAACUUCUUUGGGGCACAACUCCACCAUUUUACCCCCAACUCAAUCCUUUGUCUCGCCGCUUUCAUUUCUUUGUGUGAGAAUUUCCUGGGUUGCCGGCCUCACUGGGGUCUUUUCAAGCAUAUUUUCACUUGUCGCUCCCAGACAGUGAAAAAGGCUAAUCCGAGUGAUGAGAGGACCCAAGUGAUCCAGAUGUGUGGGGGUCUUGGCAUCUAGACAAGAGGGAAAAGCUCCUUUCCGGCCAUGAUUCUUCCUGACUCAGUUCGCGGAUGGCAGUCGACCUGGUUUUACUGUAAAGACCAGUCGACGCCAGGGCAAUUGACUGGCCCCCCUCCCUUUACCAUGGACCAAGUGGAGAAACCCUCCCCUUUGAAGGUGCUCCCGGAGGAGAAGGCGCACGUGAAGCUGUUGGUCGAUCCAGUGGUCCAGCAUAUUCGUGACGGGGUUACUGGUAUGGAUCUCUUGGAGGUCUUCCUUCAGCGGCGCAUCCAGCCUCUUCAAGCUCGAGACCAUUCGAAAUGGAUGUAUUCGGGUCUUGAAGACUCCACUCGGAUCCACCCGGAGGAGGUCGAUGACGACACACUUGAGAAGUGGCUGUCGGGCAUUACCGGGAACAAGGACAAUCCCAGGGGAGCUAGGAGAGUUCCCCCUUUCGACCAGUCUCAUGCACCAGAGCAGGUCUGAUUCUGAGUUUUUGCUUGUAAUCUGAAUUUACUCGCGAAGCUGCCUAUAUUGCGUCGACUGACUUUGUUCCCCCUACUUCCUUUCAGGCCAUUAUUGAAAUGUAUUCAAUGCCCAACGGGGAGCAAGAGCAAGUACUGGAAGGCGAGGCGAGUGGCGGCGACAGUGGCGAGUGAACUUCCGAUGGUGAAGGGGAUGGAGGAAGCGAUGAAUCAAGUGAUGGAGAAGAAGUCGAGUCGCCCCCUCGCUGGGAGAGGCGAUCCAAGCUCGAACAAGAACGGCCGAGUGCCCGCGACAAGGCAACUACUCAGGCUGGUCAGUCUUCGAAGCGUCCUCGGAUCUCUUCACCAACCCCGACUGAGAAGGCGCCAAAGCACCUCAAAGUUGUAGAGUCGAGGACUCGGAAGGCGUUGCCGAAGAUCAAGAUUGAUAUCCCCGUUGCCUCCGCGUGAGUGUCUCUCUUUGUAUUCACUCGAUGCUCCACGUUGUUUGUUUUUCUUCUUUUAACUGGACGAACUUUCGAAUUGUCAGUGCUGCCACUUCCGAGACCUCAUCUUACAGGGAUGAUGACGAGGUGAUGGAGGAUGCGGUCACUUCUAAUCCGGGUAUGAUUUCUGCCAUACUAUCUUUAUUCGGUCGAUUCAACUGCAAUGUGCCUCAUUGGGUGACGCGAUUUUGGCAAUUGAACUUUGCACAACUCCCAACAUUAUUGACCUCCCUGAUGAUGAUGAAGAGUCCAAGAGGCCUUUGACGAGGAAGAAUAGGCGAGCUCCUGUAAGUGAGGCGCUACAAUCGACGCCGAGGGCGGAGCCAGUCGUUCAGGACACUGGCGACAUCAAUCGGGGUUCUGUUACCUUCGCCGAGCCACUGUCGAGUGCCUUGCCUUCUUCGUUGACUGCUCGAGCCCCUGUCGACCUGCCUUCACUUUUUGCGACCCAUCAUGUCCCGGAGGACGAGGUGAAUGCUUCUAGGGAAGCCAUACGCCAGGCGGGCAUUAUGAUGGAGAAGAUGAAGAUGGUGCGGGACGCCAUCCAAGCCGCCUAUGAUGCCAGCUCGGCUCUCCAGAGCAACGUUUAGGUUAGUUCGUCGCCGCUUGUUCUGUUAGGAUAUGCUACCUGAAGAUUCUUUCCGAAAACCUUUGCAUCUGUACACCCACUGGGUGCGUCGAUUGAAUUUUUGGACUAGUGGGGGCACGCUGAGUGCACCCACUGGGUGUAGUCCCCGAGACUAUGGUGGACUGCUGGCAGUCGACUGUAGUCUUCGUAUUUUGCCGAAUGUAUAAAUCAAACUGGUAGUUUGUCUCUUCCACUCGGUCUGGUCGAGUGGGAUCAGAACCGGUGGGGGUACACUAAGUGCACCCACUGGGUGUAGUCCCCGAGACUAUGAUGGACUGCUGGCAGUCGACUGUAGUCUGAGUUCUACUUUCUCUCUUUCUGCCUUUUUUUUGGACUCGACUUCGGCGGGCCGGUCGAGUGGGAUCAGAACCGGUGGGGGCACACAAAGUUCACCCACUGGGUGUAGUCCCCGAGACUAUGGUGGACUGCGGGAAGUCGACCGUAGUCUUAGUAUUUAUUGCCUUUGUUGUUUUUUGCUGUAAAAAUAACUUCUUCCCUUUGAUUUCAGAAAUCUUGUGAUCUUGGAGCUCACUUUGCAGACUUGGAGAAUCAGCAGAUUCAACUGAACCUUGACUUGGAGCUGGCCAGGACAGAGCUGCAAAAGGUCAGAUACGGCGCCGCAGGUAAGACGAGUUUGUCGACUGGUCAGUUUUAGGCUUGAGUACCAUUCUGCUAUUUCUGAAUCAAUCAUCAUUUCUUUGCAGAAAAACUGAGAGAAGCUCUGGCGAAGAAGGAUCAGGAUUUGGCCGCUGCUCGUAAGGAGGCUGACGACAAGACCGCUCUGGCCGAACAGAAGCUGGUUUCGGUCGGCCGGUUGGAAGAAGAGAAUACCAGGCUGAAGAACGCUCUGAAUGACUCCAACAAGGAGUGCUUGCGCUGGAAGAAGGAGAAUCUCAUCCAGGGCGAGAAAAUGGAAGGUAUUUCUCGCAGGAGGGAUGAUCUGGAGAGCUAUCUGAGAAGUCUUGCCAUUAAGUUAUUCAUCAAGCUUGAAGGUGCACAUUCUGUUCUGACUUAUUUUUUUGUGUCGACUCAGUGUACGAAAAUUGAAUUAUCCUUGGAUUUUGAAUGCAGAGUUUUGCCAGAACUCAGAAGAGGAGACUGGGCGGAUCGAACCAGGUUUAGAUCCAAUCAACUCUCCCGUGAAAGAUGAAACUGCCAUGAAUCUGCUCCGUUUGGAAUCUCGCAUCGACAGUGCCGUGGACUACUUGGCUCGACUGAAGGUUGCCAUGUCGCGGAUUGACCCGGCACUUUGGCCAGAGGCUGUGCUCCAAAAUGAUAUUGAGUCCCUGAUGACUCGACUAACUGAAAUCCUCGACCGAGUGCAGGAGUAGAAGAAGUCUGCUGCUCGGUGUGGCGCUGACGUGGCUCUGUCUUUCGUUCGUGUCCGCUGCAAGGAGGUGCGACAGGACAAACUAGCAGCAAUCAAGGUCGCCAACACCCAGAAGCAUGACUUCCGAACCUUUAUGGAGACUUUCAUCGCUGCAGCCACUCGGAUAGCCGACGGCGUCGACCUGGAUGAGUUCGUCGAGCCUGCCAGCCCUCCUCCCGCAGAGUGAACAAACUCUUAUGGCUCACCUUAAAUUUGCCUCGGAAUGCCGAGUGGUUUUUGUAACCGUUAAACUUUUUUGGGCUGCAUGCCCGAGUACUUCGAUCUAUGAUCUGGAACCUUUAGAAUUUACCUGAACUUGGUUUACCGUUGAAUAUCUUUAUGAAUCUCCUGCUGAGUGAACCCAUUCUUCAUUCGAUACAACUUUUGUAUUCGCAGCGCAGCGUUGAAGGAGAGGGAAGCAGUUGACCCAUGUCUUGUACUUGUGGCUAAGCUCCCCAGGGGAAGGCGGCGGUCGACCCACACCCCGUUACUGCAGAGUGGAUGGAACACACAUUGUAUUUGUGGCGAAACUCCCCAGGAGAAGGUGGUAGUCGACCUGACCCUCAUCGUCCUUGAGGAUUGAGAUGUGUUUCGUACUUAGGCAAGUUCUGGACUGCAGCUAAGCCCGAAUGGGAGGAUUGCUCUCCACUCGGUUGGAUUUUUUCAAACUUAGGCGAGUGCCGGAAUGCUAAGUCUCUAAGUGAGAGAACUUAGGCGAGUACUGGACUGCAGCUAAGCCCCCGAGUGGGAGGAUUGCUCUCCACUAGGUAGGAUUUUUUCAAACUUAGGCGAGUGCCGGACUGUAGCUAAGUCUCCAGUGAGAGAACUUAGGCGAGUACUNNNNNNNNNNNNNNNNNNNNNNNNNNNNNNNNNNNNNNNNNNNNNNNNNNNNNNNNNNNNNNNNNNNNNNNNNNNNNNNNNNNNNNNNNNNNNNNNNNNNNNNNNNNNNNNNNNNNNNNNNNNNNNNNNNNNNNNNNNNNNNNNNNNNNNNNNNNNNNNNNNNNNNNNNNNNNNNNNNNNNNNNNNNNNNNNNNNNNNNNNNNNNNNNNNNNNNNNNNNNNNNNNNNNNNNNNNNNNNNNNNNNNNNNNNNNNNNNNNNNNNNNNNNNNNNNNNNNNNNNNNNNNNNNNNNNNNNNNNNNNNNNNNNNNNNNNNNNNNNNNNNNNNNNNNNNNNNNNNNNNNNNNNNNNNNNNNNNNNNNNNNNNNNNNNNNNNNNNNNNNNNNNNNNNNNNNNNNNNNNNNNNNNNNNNNNNNNNNNNNNNNNNNNNNNNNNNNNNNNNNNNNNNNNNNNNNNNNNNNNNNNNNNNNNNNNNNNNNNNNNNNNNNNNNNNNNNNNNNNNNNNNNNNNNNNNNNNNNNNNNNNNNNNNNNNNNNNNNNNNNNNNNNNNNNNNNNNNNNNNNNNNNNNNNNNNNNNNNNNNNNNNNNNNNNNNNNNNNNNNNNNNNNNNNNNNNNNNNNGUACUGGACUGCAGCUAAGCCCCCGAGUGGGAGGAUUUCUCUCCACUCGGUAGGAUUUUUCAAACUUAGGCGAGUGUCGGACUGCAGCUAAGUCUCCAUGUGAGAGAACUUAGGCGAGUACUGGACUGCAGCUAAGCCCCUGAGUGGGAGGAUUUCUCUCCACUCGGUAGGAUUUUUUCAAACUUAGGCGAGUGCAGGACUGCAGCUAAGUCUCCAAGUGAGAGAACUUAGGCGAGUACUAGACUGCAGCUAAGCCCCCGAGUGGGAGGAUUUCUCCCCAUUCGGUAGGAUCUUUUCAAACUUAGGCGAGUGCCGGAUUCGCAGCUAAGCCCCUGAGUGGGAGGCUGGCUCGCCACUCGGUAGGAAACUGUUUUUACAAACUUAGGCGAAGCGGAUUCGCAGCUAAGCCACCCACUGGGGGAUUUCUUACACAAACAAAAACAAUAAUAAUCACAGGAAAAAUUAUAAUGCUCUUGUCUUUGAUAAAUAAACUACAGGAGUUUUUCUUAUUACAUCUCAUCCGAGUGAGAAUUCAAGUAUAAAAGGGGUGGAGUAGCUCCGCAUUCCAGGCUCGUGGCUCAUCAAUCUGGCGAUCCACAUUGUAGAUGUGGUAUGCUCCAUUGUGGAGGACUCUGGUGACUAUGAAGGGGCCUUCCCAAGUAGGAGCGGGCUUGUGUGGUUUCUGCUGAUCCACUCGGAGGACUAAGUCUCCUUCUUGGAAGGCUCGGCUCUUCACGUUCUUGGCAUGGAAUCGACGCAAGUCUUGCUGAUAGAUGGUAGAUCGAAUCAAUGCCAUUUCUCUUUCUUCUUCUAGGAGGUUGACUGCGUCCUACCGGGCUUGUUCUGCUUCAUCUUCUGAGUAGAGCUCGACUCUGGGAGCGUUGUGAAGCAGGUCACUCGGUAAGACUGCCUCGGCUCCGUAGACCAGAAAGAAUGGGGUUCUUCCGGUCGAUCGAUUCGGGGUUGUCCUCAAUCCCCAAAGGACUGGUGGAAGCUCGUCGACCCAUGCACCUGCUGCGUGCUUGAGAUCGUGCAUCAAUCGGGGUUUCAGUCCUUUGAGAAUUAGGCCGUUUGCCCUUUCUGCUUGCCCAUUCGACUGGGGGUGAGCGACCGAAGCAUAGUCGACCCAAGUGCCCUGAGAGGCGCAAAAGGACCUGAAUUUGUCGGAAUCGAAGUUUGACCCGUUGUCGGUGAUGAUGCUGUGUGGAACUACAUAUCUGAAUAUCAACUCUCUGAUGAAACUGAUAGCGGUUCAAGCAUCAAGAUUCUUGAUAGGCUUGGCUUCAAUCCAUUUGGUGAACUUGUCGACUGCUACCAGCACAUGAGUGAAGCCUCUCCUACCUGUUCUCAGUGGUCCAACCAUGUCCAACCCCCAAACAGCGAAAGGCCAGACAAGUGGAAUGGUUUUCAGGGCUGACGCGCGCUUGUGCGGCAUAUUGGAGUAAUACUGACAUCCUUCACAUUUGUCGACUAUCUCUUUGGCCAUCUCAUUGGCUCUUGGCCAGUAGAACCCCGCUCGGUAUGCUUUAGCCACAAUGGUCCGAGAGGACGCAUGAUGACCACAGGUCCCCGAGUGGAUAUCGUUAAGGAUCAUCUGACCUUCUUCUGGUGUAAUACACUUCUGGCCGACCCCAAUCGCGCUUUCUCUAUAUAACUGUCCCUUUAUGACUGUAAAGGCCUUGGAUCGACAGACGAUCUGUCGAGCCUCUUCUUUGUCUUCUGGGAGUUAUUUCCUUAGGAUGUACGCGAUGUACGGUUCUGUCCAGACGGGAGUGAUAACCAAGACUUCCAUGAUCAGGUCGACCACAUCUGGAACUUCAACUUCAGUCGUAUCCGUGGCACUUUUUGGCUGCGGGGCCUCUUCAGUGAAGGGAUCCUCCUGGACUGAUGGUGUUUGGAUGUGUUCCAAAAACACAUUGCUGGGAAUGGCUUCUCUUUUGGAACCUAUUUUUGCCAGAUCAUCAGCUGCUUGAUUUUUCAGUCGGGGUAUGUGAUGAAGCUCUAACCCCUCGAAUUUCUUCUCCAGCUUUCUCACUUCAUUGCAAUAACCAGUCAUGGCUGGACUUCUGAUGUCCCAUUCCUUCAUCACUUGAUUGACCACCAAAUCUGAGUCGCCGAGUGAAAGGGCCAUGCGCAACCCAUAUAAAAGUGCUUCUUAUUCUGCCUCGUUGUUAGAGGAAUCAAAGUGUAUUUGAAGAACAUAUCUGAGUUUAUCUCCUCUGGGGGAGACCAACACCACUCCGGCUCCGGAACCAUUUAGCAUCUUGGAACCGUCAAAGAACAUGGUCCAAUGCUCCGAGUGAACCUGAGUCGGCAGUUGUUGUUCAAUCCACUCGGUGACGAAAUCCGCGAUUGCCUGGGACUUGAUAGCUUUCUUUGCCUCAAACAUGAUAUCUAGAGGAAGAAGUUCAAUCGCCCAUUUUGCCACUCGACCAGUUGCGUCCCUGUUAUGCAAGAUCUCUGACAACGGAGCAUCGCUGACGACUAUAAUGGAAUGAUCAGAGAAGUAGUGGGCAACUUUCUUUGUGGUCAUGUAAAUCCCAUAUACGAGCUUCUGAUAAUGAGGAUAUCUUUGCUUCGAUGGGGUCAAGACUUCAGAAAUAUAAUACACUGGGCGCUGAACUUUGAAGGUUUUCCCUUCUUCUUCCCGCUCGACCGUAAGUACUGUACUGACAACUUGUCCUGUGGCUGCAAUGUAAAGCAGCAAAGGCUCCUUGUUGAUUGGGGCAGCAAGCACCAGCUGGGUGGAGAGGAGAGCUUUGAGCUGUGCGAACGCUGCGUCAGCUUUAGGAGUCCACUCGAACUUGUCAGACUUCUUCAUCAAUCGGUAAAGAGGCAAUGCCUUUUCACCGAGACAAGAUAUUAAUCGACUUAGGGCGCCAAGCAACCAGUAAGCUUCUGAACAUCGUGCACUCGCACAGGUCUUUUCAUUCAGAGUAUAGUACCGACUUUUUCUGGAUUGGCGUCGAUUCCCCGUUCGAAAACAAGAAAACCGAGUAACUUUCCGCCAGGAACCCCAAAUGUGCAUUUUGAUGGAUUAAGCUUGAUAUCAAACCUUCUGAGGUUGGCAAAGGUUUGAGCAAGGUCAGUCAGCAGGUCGGAACCCUUCCAUGACUUGACCACAAUAUCAUCCAUGUACGCCUCCACAUUCCGACUAAUUUGGGUGAGCAAACACUUCUGAAUCAUCCUCAUGAAUGUGGCUCCGGCAUUCUUGAGGCCGAAUGGCAUGGUAAGAUAACAGAAGCACCCGAAUGGAGUGAUGAAAGCUGUUUUGAUUUCGUCAGGCCCAUACAGACGGAUCUGAUGGUACCCGGAAUAGGCGUCUAAAAAAGACAGUCGCUCACAUUCCGAGUCGACUAUCUAGUCAAUGCGGGGGAGAGGAAAAUGAUUUUUCGAACAGGCCUGAUUGAUAUGUUUAAAGUCAAUGCACAUGCGCAGUGACUUGUCCUUCUUGGGGACCAUGGCAACAUUGGCAAGCCACUCAGAGUGGUAGAUUUUUCGGAUGAACUCCGUCGCUAAGAGCCGAGCCACCUCUUCGCCAAUGGCCUUUCUCUUCUGGACGGCGGACCGUCGGAGAUGUUCCUUGACAGGUUUUACUUUUGAGUCGACUCUUAGGCGGUGCUCAGCCAGCUCCCUGGGAACACCCGGCAUGUCAGAGGGCUUCCAUGCGAAAAUGUCCCAGUUCUCAUGGAGGAACUGGAUGAGCGCUUCUUCCUAUUUGGAGUCGAGUGUUGUUGAGAUAUGAGUUGGAGCAGCGCUGGGGUCGGUCGGGUGGAUAUGAGUUGUCUUUGUAUCGCCAGUCGACUGAAAAGCUGACUCCGUAGCGGGCUUCUUGGCUCGCAACAAGUCACUCGGGUCUGCAGUCUUCUGGUAUUCCUGCAACUCCACCACUGCCGUCUGAGCAUCGGCGAUCUUCGAAACUUUUUAAAAACAUUCUUCCGCUUUCUUCCGAUUGCCCGUAAUAGUGAUCACACCUUUGGGGCCAGGCAUCUUCAAUUUGAGAUACACAUAACACGGUCGGGCCAUGAAGCGUGCAUAAGCCAGCCUGCCCAAAAUAGCGUGGUAGGCACUCUGGAAGUAUACAACUUCAAAUAUCAACUUCUCUUUGCGGUAAUUCUUGGAAUCACCGAAAACCACAUCAAGAACAAUCUACCUGAGUGAUUCAGCCUUCUUCCCAGGAAUGACUCCAUGGAAACUCAUGUUGCUGGCAAUGAGUCUGGACAUCGGAAUGCCCAUCCCUUUCAACGUCUCAGCAUACAAUAUGUUCAAACCACUGCCACCAUCCAUCAAGACUUUGGUCAGUCGAGUGCCUUCAACCACUGGGUGGACCACCAGAGCUUGCCUCCCAGGGGUGGCAAUAUGCGUUGGGUGAUCGGACUGGUCGAACGUGAUGGCAGUCUGGGACCAUUUCAAAUAACUUGGUGUCGCCGGAGCAACCAUAUUCACCUCUCGGUUGAUGACUUUCAGUUGACUUUUGCUCUCAACAUCAGCAAAAAUAAUCAAGGUGGAAUUGACUUGCGGGUAUCCGUCGUCACUGUCCUCUUUGUCCUCGACCUUGUCUGACUCCUUUUCCUUACCUUUGGGCUUCUUGCCCUGGAACUGCCGGAUCAAGAGUCGACACUAUCGAGUGGUAUGUUUCGGGUAAAUGAAAUUACCCUCUUCAUCUUUCUUUAUGUGGACGAGACAUGGCAAGUCCAACACGUCAUUUCCAUCCUCGUCUUUAACCCUUUUGGGGUUCCAAGGCUCUUUAGGUUUCCCUUUAAACUUUCCUUGGGUUAAAGACAAGGCUUCCCCGGGAGCUACUGGCUCGGCUUUCCGCUUCUGUUUCCGAUUGGAAUUGCCUCCGGUUUCAUGGGCGAUUGACUUGAGCUUGCCACUCCUGAGUCGAUCCUCAUCUUCACCAUUAGCGUACUUGGUGGCAAUCUCCAUCAUCCGAUUCAGGGACAUAUCCCCGGUUCGACCGAAUUUCAAAUUGAGUUCUCUGUACUUGACGCCUUCCUUGAAGGCACAAACUACUUGGUGGUCAGGCACAUUCUCCACCGAGUGGUGUAACGUGAUCCACCUCUGGAUGUAAUCCCUCAAAGUUUCAUUUGGCUUCUGUACGCAAGACCGCAGUUCCGUCAGCCCUGCCGGUCGCUUGCAUGUGCUUUCAAAUGUGGUGACAAACACUCGGGAGAGAUCUUCCAAAGUGUAAAUGUUGCUAGGUGCUAACUGGUUCAGCCACGCUCUAGUCGAGCCCUCCAACAUGAGAGGCAGGUGCUUCAUGGCCACUUCAUCAUUGCCGCCGCCAAUCUAGACGACCACUCGGUAGUCCUCAAGCCAUGUAUCGGGCUUGGACUCACCAGUGAACUUACUGACUCCAGUCGCCAACCUGAAGUUGGGAGGAAUCAUAGCGGCCCUGAUGGCUCUAUUAAAGCACUCUGGACCCGAAGCAUGUACUCUGCUGCUGGUAGGUGCAUCUCUGUCGUGACCUUCUCGGUGAGCCCUGUUCCUGUCGACCAAACCCUGGACGAGAAUGGAUCUCGCAUCAAAGCCUGGCCCUCUGGGGUCGACUGGAAUCCUUCGCCCACCACUAUGAGGGCGCCUGUCAUCCUGCUGGCAAGGCACAUACGACCCGCUCCUCGGGGGAGGCGUGGGCACUCGACGUCGACCGUCAUGAUCGACUCGGUGAUCAUACUGCUCAUGGUUCCCAUACUGGUCACGCCGUCUCCACGUCCCUCACGCCUCGGGGGCGAUCUCGGGCUGUGAGCCAACUGGACUGUGUCCGCGGCAACGGAUUUGCUGUGAAUCCUGUUCCCUGACUGAGAAACAACGGAAUUAUGAUCUCUUGCUGCUCGGAGUAACGCUCUGAUCUGCAGCAAGCCUCUGCCAACCUCCGACUGGGAAGGCUGAAUCGACUCCGCUAUACGGGCCGCAACUGCUAAAUUCUGAAUCAGAGUUUGAUAUACCUGCGGGGGCGGGAAGAGCUGACGCCGACUGGAUUCGGGAACCCGUUGUCGUGCACGCUCGUCGAGUGCUCGCUGGAGGUUCUCCAGUCGAGUGCGCUCGGCCAAGUUUGCCAGGCGCGCGUCCUCCAAGGCGCGAGCCUCGGGGAUUUCUCCAACGAUAGGAGUGUGCAGUGCAUCCACGUUCCGGCGGCGAAGUUCUUCUCUGUGCAGCGACGUGAGAGGCUUGAGAAGAUACUCCUCAUGGAGACGUGACGGGUCGCCUCCACCCGCGCCUCCGUCGGUGCGGGGAAACCCGGGAGGACUGGGCGGUCCAUCGACCAUCAGAACCUCCGCCGCCGGAUCGCUGUUGUCGCACUCGGAUGCGGUCUUUGCGGAGCCAGCCGACAGGUUGAACAGGCCGUAGAGGGAUUCGUCGGGCUCGAUCGCCGUGACUUGGGGGGUGGCCGACUGAUGUGCCACCGCAUGCCUCACCCACCGCUGACGUACGCCGGCUGGAAACGGGGAGGGAGGAUAACACAGGAGCCGACUGGUAGGGGGUCGACGGUUGCCGCAGGAGAACGCCGCGGACGCACGCGCUAAAGUGCCUUGCCCCGCGAGCAGGGAGUGCGUCUACGUCGAGAGGAGCCUCCUGGAGCCAAGCAGAGUCAUCGACGAUGAACGUGAGCACGCCAAGACGGAUCGCGCGGCCCUCCACCAAACCUCCGCCGAAAACCAUGAUGAUUCGGGUCGGAAAAGGUCGCAACUCCUCCAACAAACGCUAAAACACCGGUCCCACGGUGGGCGCCAACUGUCGUGGUUCUAAGUCUGACAGUAGUGUAGGGGGGUAAGUAUGGAGAGGCAAGAUCUUAGCUAUGGAGAAGUUGUAAGCACGCAAGGUUUACGAGUUCAGGCCCUUCUCGGAGGAAGUAAUAGCCCUACGUCUCGGAGCCCGGAGGCGAUCGACUGGAUUAUGUGAGUAUGAGUUACAAAGGUGCGAACCCUUGUCUCAGAGGAGGGGCGGCUUAUAUAGAGUGCGCCAGGACCCCGGCCAGCCCACGGUACAAAGGGUUCAAUGUACAUUAAGGCGGGGCGUUACUGGUAACGCUAGUAAUAAAGUGCUAUGAUGACCAUAAAAGCUACUUAAUGACCGACCGUUAGGGUGCGGGGUGACUUUAGGUCUCUUGGCCGUCGAGUGGUUGGAUCUUAGUCGAGUGAUUGCUUCUUGGUCGAGUGUCUUUGAGUCUGUCGAGUGGAACACCUCCAAGUCGAUUGAAAGGUGAUUUCUUCUAGAGAUGUCGUUGGGUAAGGCAGUUAGGACAUGUCCAUGACCCUACCCUAGGUACAUAGCUUCAUCAGCGUCUGCGGGUGUGGGCGGUGGCCGAUCCCCGCUCGAUCUCUCCCCCAACCCCUCGCGUCUCCGCCCGGUCGGGUCCCCUGCCUCUGGUGGCCGCGGCUCCACCGUGAGCGGCUCGGUGAAGCCGAUGAAGAAGUUGGCGGUUCGCAAGGUCACCGCGGAGGCAGUGCGCGAUGGAAUCUCUGGGGGCGCCCCCACUCCACGACAGUUUGUCAUGGCGUUGGCGGCCCCGACUGUGCCACCCUCCGCUGACCCACUGCUGCAAGAGGCCGCCAAGACGGUGAUGAUCUCAAAGGCCAAGCGCACCAAGACAGUGCCGGCGGCGCUGGUGAGCACUAGCUCGUGGUCCAAGGGAGCCAAGGGAAACAUGUCGUCGCUGUAGCGGGCGCAACUCCUUCAAGCGCAGAAGAAUAUGGAGAUCUCAGGUAAUCCACCGCUCCGCUUCACGGUUGUUGAUUCCUUUUCGGAUGAUCAUUCGCAUGAGGUGUUGGACGCGAGUGGAGUUGACCCUUCGUGUGUGUGUGGGGGGAGUCAGAGAGCUGAUUUUGCUCGUUCACGCCAAGGCGUCGGCGCUGGCAGCGCUCGCGGCUUCUGCGGCAGCGCUUGCUGAACAGAGGUCCGGUGAACCCGGGAGAGGGGUCACCGCUGCUCUAUCUAUGCCCGAAGAGGGGGGUCGGGCAACAGGGGCUGCCCCCUCUCCCUCGCCUUUGUAGGGGCAAGGUGAGACGCGUGGCAAAGGCGGUCACCUCGAGGGGUGUCCGGCUACGUAACCGCGUCAUCUAUGUGUGAUCCCUGUUCUGGAAUAUUCGUGGUUUCUGCCACCCGGGGCGACUUAACCAACUUAAGGAAUAUGUGCGCAGAGAGGACGUCGAUAUCGUAGGAUUACAGGAAACAAUCAAUGAGGACUUUCGUUUUCAUGAGUUGCUCUCUCUAGACCCGUUAGAACGGUUCGAGUGGCAGCAUGUUCCUGCAGUUGGGCAUUCGGGUGGAAUGCUGUUGGGCUUAAGUCGCAACUUGUAUGAGAUUAUCGACUAGGAUAUUGGUUCGUUUUUCAUUGCCGCACACUUUCGCAUUCGGGCUUCGCUUCGCGAGUUAGUAGACAUACAGGUCUACGGACCGGUGGACCAAUCGCGAUUGGUGGAGUUCUUGGGAGAACUCCAAGACAAAGUCACCACGGUGACCGCGGCGGCGCUCCCUGUCCUGGUGGGAGGGGAUUUCAACCUGAUCAGGUCGGGAGCGGAUAAGAAUAAUAGUAACAUAAACUGGCCUCAGGUGGCAUGUUUAAUACUGCUAUUGCGUCUAUGGCCCUAAGGGAGGUGGCCAGGUCGGACGCAAGGUUCACAUGGACAAACAAACAACUAGACCCGGUCCGUUUGGUGCUGGAUCGAGUGUUCAUGUCACCUGAGUGGGAAAUGGGCUUCCCCCUUUGUACUUUGGUUGCAGAGAAUCACAUUGGUUUUGACCAUGUACCGCUUGUUUACUCCUCGGGGGAGGAUAGGGUGCGGCGCAACCCACGCUUUUUCUUCGAAACGGCCUGGUUCAAAGUGCCAGGCUUUGAGGAGCUCUUUAGGGAGAAAUGGUGGGCAUGCGUUAAUCAAAUUGGGCCCUAGAGGGGCCCGAUGGACUUCUGGAACGCUGUCGGGGGACGACUCAGGGCUAGCCUCAAGGGAUGGGGUGCUAACCUAGGGAGGAAUGAUAAAGAGCACAGAGUCGCGAUCCUAGCGGAAAUCGCAUGGAUUGACGUGCAUGCCGAUGCCCGAUUCUUUUUGGAGCGGGAAUUGGCCCACCGGUAUGACCUAGAGGGGAAGAUCGAGGCGUUCGUACGCGCGGAGGAAGAAUACUGGCGUCGCCGUAGUGGCCAGAAAUGGACACUUAAAGGCGACGCCAAUACCAAGUAUUUCCACGCCUACGCUAAAGGCCGACGUGGGAAGUGCGCAAUUCUUAGCACUACUAGGAAAAGGCUAAUUAGUGGCGCACCUAUUUUUGCCAUUAAUGGCGCACUAUAGGUGCGCCACUAUUACCACACCAGUAGUAACAAAUAGUAAUGGCGCACUAUAUGUGCGCCAUUACUAUCACAGACGCAGCAACUAUAGGUGCACUAUAGGUGCGCCACCUAUAGUGCGCCAUUACUAUGCGUAGCAGUGCGCCAUUACUAUCUGACUUAGUAAUGUCGCACCACAUAGAAGUGCGCCAUUACUAACAAUUUUUUUUCAAUUUUUUUGUUAUUUUCUUAAUCUCGGGUCAUUAUGGCUUAAUCUCGGGUCAAAUCGCACUCCGCGGUCAAACUUCCUGAAAGGUCACCCAUCCUCACACUACUCCAGCCUGAGCACGCUUAGCUUCGCAGUUCUAUCCAACCCCAGCACCAACUCACUUAACAGACACUUGUUGAUAUAUCUAUCAUAUCAAUCCUAUUAAACCUUGUUGAUGUCUAGGACUUUGUUCAUGUUCAUGAGUGUGAUGAAAUUUUGAAAAAAUAUUUCAAACUUCCUGGUCAUAUUACGUAUCAUAUUUUGCAAAAAAAUCCAAAAAAAAUUUGAAACCAAUUUUUUUUCUGUUACUAGUGGUGCACCUAGCAAAUGGUGCGCCACUAGUAAGUUUGAAUUCUUUUUCCAUUUCCCCCCUCUAGAUCUUAAAAGCCCUGUAUCUUUCAUUCUAUUAGGUUUUUGGGGAUUCUGAAAAUCUUGAACAAAGUUUCCCCUGUUCAAUUCGGAUGUAACUUUUCGAGUAGAUGAUUUUUCAUAUAAAAAACUUUUUAAUCCGAGUUCGUAUGCAAAAGUCAUGCCCAUUUUACUAAAUUCUAGAGAGAUUUUGCAAAUAAAGUCGAAAUUCAUAUUUGUAAAUUUUCCCAACAACUAGACCACAUAUCACAUGGGAAACUUAUUUUCUUUUUUUUUUGACAUUUNNNNNNNNNNNNNNNNNNNNNNNNNNNNNNNNNNNNNNNNNNNNNNNNNNNNNNNNNNNNNNNNNNNNNNNNNNNNNNNNNNNNNNNNNNNNNNNNNNNNNNNNNNNNNNNNNNNNNNNNNNNNNNNNNNNNNNNNNNNNNNNNNNNNNNNNNNNNNNNNNNNNNNNNNNNNNNNNNNNNNNNNNNNNNNNNNNNNNNNNNNNNNNNNNNNNNNNNNNNNNNNNNNNNNNNNNNNNNNNNNNNNNNNNNNNNNNNNNNNNNNNNNNNNNNNNNNNACGUGGUGCCCAUUACUAGUUUUUGCAAAAAAAUAAAAAAAUUAAUUGUCAGUAGUGGUGCACCGUGGUUGUGGUGCGCCAUUACUAGUUUGAACUAAUAAUGGCACCCUAUACACUGGUGCGCCAUUACUAGUUUUGAAAAAAAAAAUAAAAAAAAUUGUUAGUAGUGGCGCAGAGAGUGUGUGGUGCGCCAUUACUAGUUAAAAAACUAGUAAUGGCGCACUAUGCCCUGGUGCGCCAUUACUAGUUUUCGAAAAAAAAUAAAAUUUGUUAGUAGUGGCGCACCGUGGGUGUGGUGCGCCAUUAGUGAUAUGGACAUUAAUGGCGUACCUACAUAUGGUGCGCCAUUAAUGUCCAUAUUAGCUAUAGCCCUUUUCCUAGUAGUGUAGGUUGCAAUCGGAACAUGGGCUUCUGUUGUGACAAGAGGACAUCUCUCGCCACAUUUAUGAGUUUUACAUCAACUUGAUGGGGACGUGCGAGGCCUAGAGGGCUGGUUUGCGCGAGGACGUGUGGGAUGCAUCACAACGGGUUUUGGAGUGUCAGAACGACGAGCUGGGGCUCGCGUUCCUCCCCGAAGAAAUUGAUGCUGAUCUGAUGGGUAUGAAAGUGGACACGGCACCGGGCCCGGAUGGGUGGCUGGUUGCUAUGUUUAAGCGUUUCUGGCCUCUUCUUAGAGACCCAAUUUUUGAGAUCUGCAAUGGGUUCAUGCGUGGGAUGGUAGAUAUAGCGCGCCUUAAUUUUGGAGUUUUAUCGCUCAUUUCGAAGGUCCAAGGGGACGACAACAUUAGACAGUUCCAUCCUAUUGCGCCAUUAACAUGCCAUUUAAGAUUUGAGCGAAAGCGUGUGCUACACGGCUAGGACCAAUCGCUCACCGUUCGAUUCACCAUAACCAGAUGUGCAUUUAAUGAAGGCAAUGAGGUGUAUCGAGUUUGUGCCAGUACUACAAGUCCCAGAACACAGACCUCGUCUUCCAUACCUUCAGCAGCGGCUCCGACGCCUUUUUCAUCGCCUUUCCCGGCGCGGGGAACUCCUUCCAGUUUUUCAACAACUCAUCGAUUUCGGCACCGCUCCGCUUACGUGGAGGUCCUCGAUGCUCAGCGUGACCAUUUUAUAGAUCUCCACGGGUCGUCCUGUUCGAGCCAUCUUCGAUGCCCAUGUACACGAUUUUCCCAGACCCGCCAUCUUUCCUUGACGUUAGCUGCUGAGACGUCGUAUCAUCCAUGCACCGCGUGCAUCCGCAAUAUCCAUGGCACACCUGGCCCGCGACAUAUCCGUAACCGAGAUAGUCGUGCACCAUCGUGAUCAGCGUGGCUCCCAUGUAGAAAUACUCGCCUUUGCUGGCGUCCCAUGUCUUGGCUGGUGUUUUCCAUAAAGUGUCUAACUUCUCUUGAAGUAGCCCAGAUACAAAUUAAUAUUAUUUCCUGGUUGUUUCGGCCCUUGAAUAAGCAUGCUCAUGUGAAUGUACUUCGACUUCAUGCACAACCAGGAGGGAGGUUGUACAUCCAUACAAACACGGGCCAUGUGCUAUGGUUGGUGUUCUGGUUGCCAAACGGAUUCAUGCCAUCGGUACACGCGCCGAGCACGAUGAUCCUUGCAUCACAUUCGAAAUACCGAUAGAAGCUGUUGAACGCUCUCCACUGGCUUCCAUGCUUGAUGUGUCUCAACUUUGGAUCAUCUCCAGCGUCGGGCUUCUUCCUAUCCGCGUGCCAGCGCAUUAGCUUUGCUUCCUUGGGAUCUACGAAAUACCGCUGGAGACGGGGAGUGAUCAGUAAGUACCAUACAACUUUCUGGGGACAUUUCUUCCCGGCCUUCUUGUAUCGAGAAGCAUUGCACACUGGACAGCUUGUUUUUUCCGCGUGCUCCAUCCAAUAAAUAUGCAAUAGUUUAUGCAUGCAUGGUAUCUAACAUGCGGCAGAUCAAGAGGGCACAUGAUCUUCUUGGCCUCAUCAACACUAGUAGGACAUAGAUUCCCCGCGGGAAGAACAUCCUUUAGGUACAUGAGAUGCUCAUCGAGGCUAGUGUCGGUCCAUUUGUUUUUAGCCUUCCGUCUUCAGGAGUUGGAGCGUGAAACUCAAGCGAGUCACCUCAGAAUUGCAACCAUCAUACAAUGGAGUGUUCGAGUCUACCAGCAGUUGCUCCAGCUUAGCCUCCUCUCUAGAAGCAGCUCUCUCAGUACUCGUGUCCUUGCGAAGCAGUGCUUGAACAUGAGGGUCCCGCACGAUUGAACUUAGUACCGACAAACUCUGCUGCGUGGAGUCCACGUUCUCUCCGCCGCCAUGUCCGGCCCCUUCUCCGCCGCCAUGUCCGCCUCUUCCCCGCCACCAUUAUCGAUCAUCUCUUCGUCUUGCCCCAUGUCGUCAUCGCCUUCCCCGUCGGCGUCCUCAACAUCGUCAUCCUCAUCUUCAAUUAUCCACCGAGUAUAGCCAUCCAUGAAACCUGUCAUGAAAAGGUACGCUUCGACACGACCAUCGUCAUAGGGGUCGAGCCGAACUAUUCCUUCGCAUUUUCGACACGGACAGAAAACCUCUGUCCGGUUAUUUUCUUUCAUGUCCCGCACCGCCGACCGCAACCACCUGUCCACCAUCGUUCCACUGACCAUCAUGAACGUCUGCACGGUAAUAAUAAACAAAUUGAUUAUAAAAAUGCGUGCAUGCAUCAAAGUCAUACAAAAAUUCGGCAUGACCAUCCCUAAAAAUAGGACAAAUAUAGAUCUAGAGUUUGCCUGGAAUUCGCCGAAACGGAAAUAAAUCGACAUUUCGGCAAAACAUAGGCACCUCAAAAGAACAAUUUGGCGUCAACACAUGCCAGACACACAAUUUCCAUCAUAUUGCCCAAUUAUCAUAUCACACACACAUACACAUGUUUCCAUUUUGCAAAAGCAUGAAAUUUUAAUCACCUCUAUCUCGAGAUCGAGCACACGGUGGAGAUGAUGAUGUAGGGAGAUCAAAAGUGCACAAAGCUCUUCUUGACAAAGAUAGAUCUAGUUAGGGGGCAAAUAGGUCACUUAACUAAAUGCNNNNNNNNNNNNNNNNNNNNNNNNNNNNNNNNNNNNNNNNNNNNNNNNNNNNNNNNNNNNNNNNNNNNNNNNNNNNNNNNNNNNNNNNNNNNNNNNNNNNNNNNNNNNNNNNNNNNNNNNNNNNNNNNNNNNNNNNNNNNNNNNNNNNNNNNNNNNNNNNNNNNNNNNUAAUGGGGGGAGAAGUAUUGAGGAAGAAGAAGAGUGAGAGAGGGAGGAUGUGGGAGGUAGGGGAAAGGGAGGAGAGGAGAUGGGGGAGGGGAGGUAGGGGAAAAAGGUGGUGGGGUUGUGUCUUAGCAGUAGUGGGGGAGGAAAAACGCGCUACUGCUAAGAGCAUAGCAGCAGCACUCUUUCCUCACACGCGCUACUAAAAAGCACGCUAAACGGGCCAAUCGUGUGGACAAUUUCCAAAUUAGCAGCAGCGACGUGACUAAAAAGCGCGCUACUACUAUUUUAUUAGCAGUAGCGCGCUUCGUGACACCGCGCUGCUGGAAAAUUUAGGUUGGUGUGUAGUGUCGGCCAAUUUUUGCAGGAGCAAGGUUUAAAGGUCACGCGCUACUACUAAAUUUACAUCAGUAGCGCGGUUUUCCUAAGCUAGCUACUGCUAAUUAGCAGUAGCGCCUCUUUUUGUGCCGCGCUGCUGCUAAGAUUCUGUGUAUAAGGUUUUCCCUAGUAGUGAUCUGUUUUGUGUCAACUUAAGAGUGUGCUGAAGCUAGAUUAUUCCAAAGCUUGAAUUUUAGGCGUAGGUGAAGUGUCGUGUUGAUCACCCUCUUUCAGCACCCACUACUAGGGAAAAUCCUAUACAUAGAAUCGUACCAACAUCGCGCUUUAAAACAAGGCGCUACUGCUACGUACUAGGAGCGCGUGCCGACGAAACGCGCUGCUAACAUAGAUGUAGGAGUACUGCGCCUAUGAUAAGCCGCACUACUGCUAUAUUUGCCACGACCCCGCCGCGAAGCUAGUUAUAGGAGCAGCACCUUAUUACAAAGAGUGGUACUGCUACAGAUCAUAGCAGUAGCGCAUGCUCACUAUAACUGCUACUGCUAAGUUUACUACAAAAUUUAGUCCCACCUUGCUCCACGAACAGUGUUUUUACCAUCUUAAAUAUGUUAGUUCUCAAACUAUCACUACCACUUGGUUUUCAUUGAACUCUAUGUGUAGAAUUUUUGGCUGCAAUAUGAGUCUUCUCCGGUUUCUAAAAACAGAUGAGGUCUCAUAUUGAUAAUUCAGAUUGUACACAAAAAGAUCAUUGAUGAUUAAUGUAUUUUUUAUGUAUAUUUUUACAUGUUUACACAUAACAGUAGCGCGUUUUGCCUAUAAGGCACUACUGCUAGGUCUUUUAGCAGUAGCGCAUUUCUCUAUAGCAUGCUACUGCUAAGCCAUUCUAUCUUCCCCAGCCUACCACCUAUCACUCUCGUCUCUCCACUCACACUCACUCGAUCUCCCCCCUCAAUCCCCCCGCGCCAGUCCCCCCCGCCAGCCGCCGUCGCCUACCCCUUCUCCCUCUGCGCCGCCGUCACCUCCCUCUUCUCCCUGGACCCGGUAAACCUACGUCGGCCGCCCUCCUCCCCACCCCCUCCUCCUCCGUCCUCCCUCCACUCCUCCGUUCGCAGCCGGCCGGCCCCUCCUCGCNNNNNNNNNNNNNNNNNNNNNNNNNNNNNNNNNNNNNNNNNNNNNNNNNNNNNNNNNNNNNNNNNNNNNNNNNNNNNNNNNNNNNNNNNNNNNNNNNNNNNNNNNNNNNNNNNNNNNNNNNNNNNNNNNNNNNNNNNNNNNNNNNNNNNNNNNNNNNNNNNNNNNNNNNNNNNNNNNNNNNNNNNNNNNNNNNNNNNNNNNNNNNNNNNNNNNNNNNNNNNNNNNNNNNNNNNNNNNNNNNNNNNNNNNNNNNNNNNNNNNNNNNNNNNNNNNNNNNNNCUCCUCGCUCCGCCUUCCUCCUCCGUCCUCCUUCCUCCUCCAGUCGCCCCUCCUUCUCCCUCCUCCCUCCUCCAUCCACAACCCCUCCUCCUUGCUACAUCUUGAUUUAGUAGGCUAGUUCAUUGCAACACUUUGAUUUAGUUGAUAUGAUUUACUUGAUUUAGUAGGCUAGUUGAUUUAGAACAUUUUGAUUUAGUAGGAUAGUUGAUUUAGUUAAUUUAGUAGGCUAGUUGAUUUAAUUCAUUUAGAACAUUCUGAUUUAGCUGAUUUAGUAGGCUAGUUGAUAUGCAACAUUUAGAGAGACAGAGAGACAGAGAGACAAAGAGAGAGAGAGAGAUAUGAUAGUUGAUAGUUUUUUGUUGAUAUGAUUGACCGAUUAGUAAAAAUUUAGACAUAGUUGAUAGGUUUUAGUUGAUAUAAGCCUCUGGCCAUAUAUAAUAAUUCGAUAUAGGAUAUUUUCUAGGGUUUAGAAUAGUUGAUUCUAGUUUGCUACGUUGGUUUGCAUGUUGAGCUUGAUGAUCAUCCCAUGCUAAGUUAUUGUUUUCUUUGCUCAUAUUGCUUUAGGAAAAUGGCGCGACCACCACCACCACCAUGUCGACUGUGCAAGUCAUGGUGUGGCAGCAGCCUUGCAACUGGCAACCUAUUCGGCAUCUUCUUCCAGCCGAGUUUUUGUCAUGCGGCGGUAAGAAAUUAUAUGAAAUGUAACAAGUAUUUUGAUUUUAGUGUUGGCAUUAAUGCAUUGUGUCAUUUUUAUUUUUGUACACAUAUCGUCUCAUGCAAUGUGAGGUUGAAAUUCAACAAGCUGACAGGAGACACUGUGACCUUUGAGGCACCUAGGGGGCCCUACACUAUGGAGGUCGAGAAAGGACGUAAUAUGUCGCAAAUUGGAGGAGAUGGAUGGUCCCAUUUCCUCGCCCACAUGUGUCUUACUGGUGGUGAGUUGGUGAACUUCCCAUGUUUUUAGUUAAGCUCUGCGUGUCCACGGCCAUCGAUCAAUGGUAGCAGUUUGUCAUUGCUUGAUUUCUGCGACCACAGAAAUUUCACACUGCACGCUGAUUACCGCAAUACAUGGAACUGAGUUGAUGCUCAGUAUACAGUUGACAACCGAACCACUAGUCAUGGAUAAUUUGUUUAUGUAGUUAAUUGCUCUUUGUGAUGAAUUUGAUGUAGUGUUGUUUUGCAUUCUAUAUGGUUGCUCUCUUGGAAAUGUGUGGUCCAUGGUAUUCAUCUACCCUAAACAUUUCUCGCUUUUAAAUUUUGUCUGUUUUGGGUUGUGUCAUAUAGGGAGACCUGAGAUGGCGCUUUCUUUCAAUAUGGCAGGACCUUCUAAAGGGAGGAAAACCACCCUGGAUGUCACAGCCUUUGGGAGGGAAGCCCUACACAUCUCGGUUCAAGUGAGUCAUUGAUCCCCAACCCCCGCCCCUCUAUCUCUCCCUCUCUCUCUUGCUGUGAGAUGUUCUGGCCAUCAAGCCAUUGAUUUAGUGUUUGGAUCGGUUAUUUAAUUGCAUGUCUGGUACACUACUAGGAAAAAGGCUACUAGCAGCGCGGGUACCCGCGCUACUAGUAUCGUACUACAGCUAAUAGUUAGUAGUAGCGUGGGUGCACCCGCGCUACUACUAAAAAGUUGGUAGUAGCGCUGGUGCACACCAACGCUACUACUAUUUGCUACUAUCAAAAUAGUAGUAGCGCUUCUAGUAUACUAGGCGCUACUACUAUGCUAGAUGGUAGUGGCGUGUAGUUUUGCCCAGCGCUACUACUAACAAAUGAUAAAUUUAAAAAAAUAAAAAUUACGUGCAUUAUUCAUAGAUAGAAAUCAGGGACACGUCCAGUGCAAAAUAAAUUAAACACACACAACCGAAGGUGGCUACCUUCCCUAGUGUUCCACCACUAGCCUAAACAGACCACUUCUCUACAUUUAUCUACCAAGGCUCGGAGUUCAGACGCCGGAGGACCCGAAUCCUCCCUCACCCCGAAAGAUGGCGUCGAGGUCCUCCACCUCUCCGACAUCCGGCAUCGUGAUCACAUGGACGAUCAUCCGGGCGGUGCGGUCGCUGGGCUUCACGUCGAAGUCCACCUCUAAGUGGUUGAAGAGCAUGACGCCCACCAGGUUGUCGUAGUCAGCCACGUCGGGAAAGUGAAAACUUGUUAGUACGCAUCAGAGUUCAAAUUCGGUAGGGUAUUUUCUUUCUUUUUAGCACAUGCACAUGCAUCAAUAGUAACAGCCGGAGGCUAGUCCUUACUUUUUGCAUGAGACAUGAAGAAGGCCAGGUCCCCUCUUCGUUGCACGAAUGAAUCAAAGGAAGACACUGCCACAAGACAUGAAGAAGGCCGGGUCCCCUCCUUUUGUAAAUAGCUCAAGUGCCUGAAGUUGCAAGGAAUCUUAAUACAAUGAACUUAUAGUAAUGCAUAAUAACAAGAAAAAGGAAAAAAAAUCAUGAAUCCUAAAGAAAAAGAUCAUUAUGUGAGUCAAGAUAAUGUGGGCAACAGUAUUCAUUAAUAAGAAAAAUGGGAUGAGAUUUCUGAAGUGACAUUUGUUUCACCAACAAUGAUUAAUGACGAGGCAUGUAAGAUUUACCUGCGCAACAUCAGCAUACCCUCUGGUCCUUGCAAGAACUUGAAGACCAAGGUUCUAGCUUUCUCCCCACUGACUAGCACAAGUGCAGCGGCACCGUCGCUGUACAUUAACCCAAGAUCUGCUUUUCAUAGGAACAGUAAAAGCUGUACUUAACCCAAGAUCUGCAUUUUUCACAUCAUCUUCUCCUUGUCAACCAAUAGAUUUUGGGGCUUUAAAUCCCUAUGAUAUCAAAGAGGAACAAUCGUAAAUCACAUUAGCAACAAUUGCAAUAUGUUGUAUGGGCCGAUAAAUACAGCAACAUAAAUCAGAAAACAAAGGUCUAACCGAUGAAGGACACCAUGGCCAUGGCAGUGUGCAAUUCCUUUGCAUAACUGAUACAAAAAUCUCUACAAGAAUGUAAAGAAAGUUUUCUAUUAGCCCGAAACAGACCUAUCAAAAUUAAACUGGACUCUGGCAUCUGCUAUCCAAUGAAAAUUAACGAUAGCAUCCUCAAAAUAAAGGCAUGAAGAUGAAUUGAUUCCAAAGAUAACAACAAAUUAAUCUGUACUUGAGUGUAUGCAAAACAGAGAACACAGCAGCAGUCAACAUUGAGUUUCAACCAUUAUACUAGCACUACUUAGUUCCUAAUUUAGUAUCCUGCAACUAGGCUAGAGUAGUAGAGUUUGCAUAUUUUUUGACGAAUUCAAACUAGCUACAAAUUUACAAUGUAGUUCGCUCUGAUUGCAUAUCAAUGUUUUGCACGUUUCCGAUGCAAAACUCAGAGUUCAGAAUGGGCAUAUAUGAGGAAGUGCCAAGUCCUCAAAUCGAUGGAUAGGAGACUCAGCCGAUGUAGCAUCGGCAGAAAGCCAAGUGAGCAGGGCAAGGGCAAAUCAGCCUCAAAACUAAUUAAAAUCGCUACCUUGAUGACCUGAGUUGGGAGCGGCUUAGGGGCAGCUUAAUUUCAGUCGCCACAACCAAAUUUUCAAAAAAUUUCCACCCUUUUCUUCUACUCCCUCUGUAAACUAAUAUAAGAGUGUUUAGAUCACUAAAGUAGUGAUCUAAACGCUCUUACAUUAGUUUACGGAGGGAGUACAUCAUAGCGCAGAAAUCUACUGAUGUGUAUGCGCAUGCUUGACAAUUUUUGAAUAAACUAAGCACAAGCUACAAUCUCCUAGUAUAAUCAGUACACCCACGCGAGAUCCAAAGCUAUGAACAGAGGACAGCCACAUCUAGAACAUGACAGAUCACUCAGGAAACUCCCUAGAAUUCCGCGCAAUUUGUGCAACCGUGGACAGAGUACACGCCCAGAGGGCGGGCAGCGGGGUAGAUCUCGACUCAGCUUACCCGGUCGAGCUCCCGGAGGAGGGAGAGGCCGGCGACGGAGAAGUAGGCGAGGGUGAGGUGGUUGACCUCCUGCGUGGCAUAGCCGUCGGGGAGCUCGGACGACAUGACCUCUAGGAACGCCGCGUGGCGCGCGUGCGAACCCGGCCGGCUCCUCCUCCUGGUCCCCCAUCUCCGGCGGUCGUCGGUCGUGGAAAGUGAAGGCCUCUCUCUCUCCUCGUCGCCGCCGAUUGGUCUGACCGGUGCAGGGGAACGAAUCCUGCCGCGCUUGGGACUUUGGGAGGGGGCUGAGAUGAGCUGACGGUCCCUCGGGGCCGCCGCGCUGCCCCACCUCCAUGCCGCGGCGGGGAGCAGCCCGGGCUGGCCGUCGCGAUGGGCCUUGUCGGCUGGGCGGUGGAGGAUCCCGGCAUGGAUCGGAAAAAGGGAGAGAUCCCGUCGGCAGAGGAGAUGAGAGGAGGUGGAGGGGAUGUGAAUCAGGGGUGGGUGGGGUGCGGGAGUGGGUGGACUGGGACUGAAAGGCUAGCGUAGCGCAGGGUAUCUCACCGGUGCUACAGAUAUCCACUUAGCAAUAGCGAUUGUUUAAAACCCACGCUACUACUAUGGUAUGUCGGCAGGGCACGGUCGAAAAUAUUUACUAAUAGCGUGUUAUUUUUUGCCACACGCUACUAGUAAAUAGUAUUAGUAGCGCGGGUCAUUAUAGCGCGUUACUAGUAAAUAGUAGUAGCGUGGGUAAAUAAAGAGCGCUACUAGUAAGCGUCUGUGUAUAAGCUUUUCCCUAGUAGCGGUAGUUUCAAACACAAUGUUGUAUGCCCUUUGUAAUUUCUGGUUUCCUAACUAAGCAGUCCAAGCAUGUAUCUCUAAUUUGUGAUGGAUGUGACAUCCACUUUCUAGUAAUUUUGUGAUGCUGACCAAACGAACUACACUACUAAUACUAGUUGAACAAGAAGGUCGGUUCGAUGCUGUUUGCUUGUACGAAUGAGUCCAAGCAGUUUGUGUUAAUUUGUUUGAAGUUGGCUGGUUGCACCUUUAUCCCAUUACAGGGUUUGAAAUGGCUCCUCCACCUUUCUUGGGCUAAUAAAGUGCAGGAUUCUCCCAUUACCUGGCUAUAUUCGUGUUAGCUGACAAUAUAUACUCCCUCCAUCCCAAAAUAAGUGUCUCAACAUUAGUGACACUGCCAAGCGCGAACACUUUGGUGUCUGUGACCAUACGCUAGCUAAAUGGCCGAUCAUCUUUGGUUCCCUCUCUCCUUUUGGUUUUUAGCAUAGCAUGCCGUUGUUUUUGUUGUCCCCCUGGUAGUAUAAGCCAACACUUGGGGUGUGAGAUUGUCUAGUGCCUUUUUAGAUUAGUCACCAUAAAACAUUUUGUUUGUGAAGUUGAUUGUGACAGAACUUCGAUUACGUGAGGGUCUGUCGUUACUUAAGCCCAGCUUAUGUACAAGGGUGUCUUUUCGUUUUGGGUUCUGAGCAUAGCAUGUUUUUGUUUUUGUCAUCUCGUUAUAAUAGUACCAGCCAACAGUUUUGUGUGAGAUUGAGUUUCUAGCUUCUUUUUUUAUAACUGGCUAUAGAACAUUUAGUUUGUGAAUCCCUUUCGGGGGUUCCUUAGGGACCGAUUCCCUCUGCACAGAUUGACUGAGCAUGUCUGGUCAUUGUUUCUUUAACUUGUUGCAUGUGUAUUUGAAGCUCUGACUUAGAAGUUUUGUUCCUAUGGUCGUCAGGUUAUGUGCCAUGGAAUGGACGGAAGAUGGUGAGCGACCACUAAUGGAUGUGGUCGAAUGCACCUUGCCAGUCUCGAGAGUCCUUGGAAGUGGACGGUGGCCCUAUUGGUUGAAGGCAGGGGAAAAUUGCUCGACGUAUUUCAGCAAUCAACAGGGCACUUUUAGGCUUGUUUUCCAUUGGAUGGACUGAGAGGGGUCUGUAGAGAGAUCCCAAUCUUAUGGUCUAAGUGUCUGUGCUAAAUGGUGAUACAUUCUGAGAUACAAGAAGACCCUGCCGAUCUAAUCUUGAAGACUACUGAUUGGCAUUAUUGUGUUUAUUUUCACUUUUCUCUCUUGUAGGCUGAGGUGUCUCAGAACUUUGUAAAAUUGAUGGGAUGGUGAUAUAUGUUGGCCUUGUCCCAGGGAUUGUAUUGUGUGGCAUGGAGGGAGUUAUUAUUGUAUUUUCGGUUAGUGUCAAGAGAUUGGAAUGAAUGUGUGCGGCUCAAAUUGUAGUAAUUCUUCAUGAAUGAUUCAUUCAAUAGUUAUACGUACAAUAAUAACUUGUGCAUGAAAACAUAUCUAGUAUGUUGUUGUGGAAAGCAAUUGCUUUCUUGCUUUCAAAUUUUCCAUUAGAAAAAUAAAUUGGAGUGGUUGUGCUUGUGUAUGCAUCAACAUGUGAGCAAGCAUAGUAUUGCUUGGCUGGUAGUUAUUGUUGUCCCCGACAAUCAUGUCGAAACUGGAGGGUUGGAUUUGGAUUCUUCUCUCUUUUGGUGCGUAUUACUACUUGCAACAAGAUUAUGUGACAAGGAAGUAGAAGAUAAUUGAUUAGUGGUGCAUUUUAAUCAUGUGAUGAUUACUAGUUUUGAUUGAUGCUUGAUGAUGGUUCAACUUGAUCAUGUUCUAAUAUUGAUGAUGAUCACUAGGUUGUUCUGAUCAUUCUUAUUUCGAGCAGACAGUGUUGAAUCGAAUAUGUGUAAUGUUAUAUGCUACCAUAUCUGUCACAAGUAACAAAACAUCUUAUAAUUAGGAACCGAGGAAUGCAAAAGAGCAACCUGUUUUCUCUUCUUAGUUAUCUUCUCUAAUCUAGGUACUAUUCCUAAUAAUAUGUAAAAUCUACUAGGGAAGAUCAGUUUUUGUUUUGGGAAUCAGACAAUUCAAAUUUGUUAGGAGGAGAGAGAAAGGAGAGAUCUCUGCAAGUUUGUUAGGAGGAGAGAGAAAGGAGAUAUCUAUGCAAGUUUGUUAGCAGGAGAGAAAGGAGUGAUCUCGACAAGUUUGUUAUGAGGAGAGACAAACUAGAGAUCUGAGUGACGUGAUCCUUGGAUUCACAUUACAUAUGAAAAAAAAUUGGAAACAGCCAACCGAUUUGCAUCCUUGGAUUCACAUUAUAUAUGAAAAAAGAUGGAAACUGCCAACCGUUUUGCAGUUAACCCUCUCGCUUAUCCCUCCUCCUUGGAAUCAGGCAAUCCCCAUUUAAUUGCUACCGUUAAAUAUAUCGCCCCUCCUCCUCCCUUUGUUCAUUUGUUCCAUCCAUUGGUUGGCAUCCAUCAAAGGUCUGUCAUACCUUACGCCACCUCACCGAUCCGCGGCCUCCUGGUUCUUCUAAGGCCAUCACUAUAUGUACUAGAAACAGUGAUACAUCUGUGUGCGGGGUGCGCGUGCGACUUAGGACUUGGGACCUUGGGCGACGGCGGUGGCGACGGGCGUGAGGAACUUGGACGCAGACAAAGCAUCACAAGCCUAUUAAGCUGGCAACGGGCAGCAGAAGCCCGACAUUGACGACACAGAUGAGGAGCCCUGCCGCUAGGGACGCGCGGAUGAAAGAUGAGGAGCCCUGCCGCUAGGGAGGCGCAGAUGAAAGAUGAGGAGGAUUGAGGCCUCCGACGCCCCUCCAGUCCUGCAUGCUGGCGUGGUGAGAGUAACGAGGAGGAGGAGGAAGCAUUUGUUCGUGCUCUGGCAGUGCGGAGGCACUGGCCGGCCAGAGAUGAAGGGCUCGGUUGGCGGGGGUCCUGUUUAUUGGCUCCCAGUCCUAGCGGCGAGCGCGCAAGGUCGGAGAUGGAUUUGAUCGGGUUGGGUUGGAUUGGAUUGAAAAGAAAGGGAAGGGAAGAACGUGUGUCGUCAAGGAGGAGGAAGAAGAAGAUGUAAUAAGGAUGUACGGACUCGAGUUGCCUGCUGACGAAAUGCGUGCGUUUGGGUGGAGAUUCGCGCUUCGAAGUAGAAAGCCGUGUUUAAUUCUAACACUCAUCUUGAGGAGUCACUCUCAAAGCAUACAUAUGCAGACUCGUGACGUGACAAAACACAUACCGACUGCUUGACAAGAUCUCGUCUUGGAGACUAAACAUGGACAAACGAUUGUGGUGGUAAAUCGAUGUUUCAUGAGAGCAAGCUAGAGACAACGAAACGCCUAGAGACAACGAAAUAUGGAGAAAUGAUUGUGGUGGUAGAUAUCAUGGUCUCAAUAUCCCGCAAAAAAAUUGCUCUUUCCUCUAUUGUGUACUUUUUUCUGUGCAUUACUGGUCUCCCGCGUAGUAAGACCAUAUGAAAGCAGCAGCGCAGAAUGGUCUCUCGCCUAGGCUAGGCUACCUGUGACUGAGACGGAUCUACGUUUACAUAUAGGAUCACUUUUAUCGUCACCGUCUGUCAUAGCUUCAUGUAAAAAGCUAAAGGUCAAUUUGAUUUUCUCAAGGGAAAAGUGUACUUUUAGUCCCUUAACUUUCAAACUGGACAACUUGCACCUCCAUCUCUUGAAACCAGGCAAUUUCAGUCCCUUGUCUCGGCUGUUCCGGUUACUUCUAUCCCACAAAUUUAGAUCAAUUCUAUCUAAUUAACCUUUUUGGUUUUGGGAGUAAUCUCACCACAUAAGAGCAUCUCUAGCCCCUCAAACGACCCCUCAAACCUGAACUCAUUAUAUUUUGAAGAGUUAAAUAAAAAUAGUUCCUAGCCAAACUCUUAACUUAACUCCCUAAAACAUUUUCCACACUAAUUUAUUUCAAUAGAUAUUGAAACUACUCGAUUGAAACAGAAAUUUAAACAAUGAUUGGAUAAUUCAGUACAUUGUAUAACAUCAACUUAAACUACUCGAUUCAAACUUAAAACUAAAUAAAACUAAUCUUCUUUGGCCAGGAUUUUCUCCCAAUCCGCGUCACCUAUGCCGGACCCUCCAGAGCUGGAGUCACGGACAAAAAUCUAUCACUACCGUUCCAUCCUCGUCGCCGAGCCCCCACCGGACUGUCUAGCCUCAUCGGUGAUAUUCUUGUAGAGCUCGCAAACCCGGAGCUCCUCAACGACGAGCUCCAAAUGAUUUGCUUGGAGAUCGGCCAUAUAUGCCUUCUCGGUGUGUGCGGCCUAGAUCUGCUCAAAGGCCUCCUUAUUAUUCUACACCUCACGGAGGGAGACUACUCAGGUAUGGACGAAGAUGAGUUACAAGACAGCGCUACUGCUGAGACGAAUCUUUAUCUUCUUAUGGCUGCUGUGGAGGCUAGGUCUGGUUUAACUCUUAAAAAUUUAAGGACUUGUACGUUUUCUUAUAUCAUGAUAAAUGUUUAUUAUUCAUGUUAGAAUUGUAUUAACCGGAAACUUAGUACAUGUGUGAAUACAUAAACAAACAGAGUGUCCCUAAUAUGCCUCUACUAGACUAGCUCGUUAAUCAAAGAUGUUAAGUUUCCUAGCCAUAAACAUGUGUUGUCAUUUAAUGAACGAGAUCGCAUCAUUAGAGAAUGAUGUGAUGCACAAGACCCAUCCGUUAGCUUAGCACUAUGAUCCUUUAGUCUAUUGUUAUUGCUUUUUUCAUGACUUAUACAUGUUCCUAUGACUAUGAGAUUAUGCAACUCCCUAAUACCGGAGGAACACUUACUGUGCUAUCAAAAGUCACAAUGUAACUGGGUAAUUAUAGAGACGCUCUACAGGUGUCUCCGAUUGUAUUUGUUGAGUUGGCAUAGAUCGAGAUUAGGAUUUGUCACUCCGAUUGUCGGAGAGGUAUCUCUGGGCACUCUCGAUAAUGCACAUCACUAUGAGCCUUGCAAGCAAUGCGACUAAUGAGUUAGUCAUGGGGUGAUGCAUUACAGAACGAGUAAAGAGACUUUCCCGGACGAGAUUGAACUAGGUAUGAUGAUACCGACGACUGAAUCUCGGGAAAGUAACAUCCCGAUGACAAAGGGAACAACGUUUGUUGUUAUGCGGUUUGACCGAUAAAGAUCUUCAUAGAAUAUGUAGAAACCAAUAUGAGCAUCCAGGUUAUGCUAUUGGUUAUUGACCGGAGAUGUGUCUAGGUCAUGUCUACAUAGGUCUCGAACCCGUAGGGUCCGCGCGCUUAACAUUCGAUGACGAUUCAUAUUAUGAGUUUAUGUGAUUUGAUGUACCGAAGGUUGUUCGGAGUACCAGAUGAGACCACGGACAUGACGAGGAGUCUUGAAAUGGUCGAGACAUAAAGAUUCAUAUAUUGGAAGGCUACAUUCGGACACCGAAAUGAUUCGGGUCGUUUCGGAUAAGUUUCGGAGUACCGGGGGUCACCUCGGUCAUAUUGUCGUAGUGCUUAGGCGAAGCCCUGUGUCGGAAACUUCAUCAUCACCGUCACCACGCUGUCGUGCUGACGAAACUCUACCUCGGCCUCAACUGGACCAAGAGUUCAAGGGACGUCACCGAGCUGAAUGUGUGCAGAUCGUGGAGGUGCCGUGCGUUCGGUACUUGAUCGGUUGGAUCGCGAAGACGAUCGACUACAUCAACCGCGUUACUAAACGCUUCCGCUUUCAGUCUACGAGGAUACGUAGACACACCCUUCCCCGCUCGUUGCUAUGCUUCUCCUAGAUAGAUCUUGCGUGAUCGUAUGAUUUUUUUUGAAAAUACUACGUUUCCCAACACAAGUGCGACCCGCGCAUCCGCGCCAGCAUUAACCAUGUCUAGGAGGUCGAGGAGCCCCUCGACCCAGCCCUCACCUGCUUUAACGACGUUGCCGGUUUUGGCAGGGUCGAUUCCCCCAUCGCCUGACUCAUUUCUAACGAGUAUGAUGUCGGUGGGUAUGCCGUGCCAUUCGUAUGCCUUGGCGGGUUCCAGAACACACGCGGUCUGUAUCAUCUCAACGAGGGCAAGGGGCUCGUGCUCGUGCUAGAGCUUGACAAGGCGCGCUUCUAUCUCGACACCAACUAUGAGCUGGAUUGUUAGACUACGGGGCAAGCGCGCGGGGAGGGGGGGUGACGAAGCCGUAAGUGCAGGUAUUUCGAGCUUGUCGCUGCCGUAUACCCUGGAGAGGUGCGCGAAGAGACCUGGUUAGAUUUCUUGCCACCCACUGCUAGAUGCUCCAUGUCUACUCCUCCGGUUCCUUGGGCAUUAUUGGGUUGUCUCAAUUUUCAGUUUGGAACACAUAGCCGUGAAUUUUUUUUAUUGAUAUAGUUGUUGGGAAGAUUUGAUGUAUUAUCGCUAAGCUCUCGGGAGUAGGCCUGAGGAAGGUCUGCUAGAGUGGUGAAUUAUGUUUCUUGAAAAAGAGAGGAAGAUGCUUGUUUUUGUGGUCUCGUGGAAUAUCAUACACAAUAUGUAUGUUUAUGGUAAAAACUUGAGCAAUAUUUAUAUUCAUUUGUUGGCCCGUGGCAACGCACAGGCAUUGAACUAGUGAGACAUUAUGGUACACUUUGCAAUAAGAAAAUAAAACCCAGCAAAUUUUGUCACAACUCAAAAGAUUUUGAAACGAGGCAAAAGACAUGCCAUUUUUAUUGAUUAAGAAGAAGAGAAUUUUGCCUGGUUAAUUGACGGAAAACUGGGCUAAAACCGUUACAACACAGCCCACAUGACAUGGGCACCACCGGCCAACCUAGCCACCGACAUGGAACAAAAGCCACGACGGCACAUGCUAACAGAUGACCGCACGCGCAAGCAACCGACAGCUCCGACUUUGUUGACGAGCAACGCAAGGGAAAUAUGCUGCACUUGCGCCGACCAUGCCCCCCGCAGACGACCACUCAAUGCCUGUCAUCGUCACCACCUGGACUCGCUCCACCGCAGCUCUGACUUCAAAGCAACCAGCAACCACGGAAGAGCACCUCGGACACGCUGGGAAGAACCGACUACCGAAGACCACGCCGCGACCCAAGCUCCAUUCGACGCCAUCAUCAUUGCUAAACAGAAACCAGCGCCCUGCCUCAGCAGACCACGCGGCGAAGAUGCCGCCCUCCACGGCAAGGAUGACGUUAUCCACCAGUCUCCCAGUCGUAGCCUACUUCGAGACGAUGCCCGCAAGGAGGAGAAAGACGUGAAGACGCCUCCAUCGCCCGAUCCGGAGGAUCUGAGGUUUCCCUCCGGAGCCAAAGCUAUGGGGAGGAAGAGCGCACCUCCACGACGACGCUUCCAAGAAAGAUCGCGGCACCCGCGGGCACCGCCGUCGCCGGCUCCAGUGGAGACCGGAGGAAGGAUUUCUCCCAGAGAUGUGCCUACCGCCCGCCACCACCGACCGCCGCCAACAAACCACGACCCCUGCCGAGGCCGACCUCACUCUGGCCACGUGAUCCCACGAUCCAUCGAGACUAGAAACGCACCACCCCCUGGCCGAAGCCACCGUCCACCACCGCGGCACCACCUUGACUACCACCACCGCAUCAACCAACGCCGCAUUGCCACGCGCAGCACCCAGAUUGAAGAACAAGCUCCCACCAGAUCGAAAGACGAGCAGGUUCUCCCUCCGCAGCACACCGCACACUCCAGAGAAGCACACCCACCAUGCGCAGCCGCCGGUCGCCGUGCCCAGCCGUCGAUUUUCGCCCCAUGCACACUCCUAGAGCCGAGCCGCCGCCGAGUGCAUGUGUGCCGUCCACGCCCAGGCCAUGCCGGGAGCCCGAACCUAGGCCGCCGCCCCGACUCCCCUGAGGGAGUCCUGGACUAAGGAGUCCUCGGGCGUCGGACCUGUUAUCCAAGGGCCGGACUAAUGGGUUGUGAAGAUCAAAGAUCAUAAUCGUGUCCAUAUUGGACUCUACUUGACGUGGAAGGCAAGCUAGGCGACCGAAGAUUCCUUUUUAUGUAACCGACUCCAUGUAAACCCUAGAUCCCCUCGGUGUCUAUAUAAACCGAAGGGGAUAGUCCGGAAAGGACACCACGUAUACUCAUUACCAUAUGCAUAGGCUAGAAUUCUAGGGUUUAGUCAUUACGAUCUUGUGGUAGGUCAACUCUUGUAAUACUCAUAUUCAUCAAGAUCAAUCAAGCAGGAAGUAUGGUAUUACCUCCAUAGAGAGGGCCCGAACCUAGGUAAACAUCGUUUCCCCUAUCCCCUGUUACCAUCGAUCCUAGACGCACAGUUCGGGACCCCCUACCGAGAUCCGUCGGCUUUGACACCGACAUUGGUGCUUUCAUUGAGAGCUCCACUGUGUCGUCGACAAAAGGUUCGAUGGCCCCUUCAAUCAUCAAUAACGACAUUGUCCAAGGAGAAACCUUCCUCCCAAGACAGAUCUUCGUAUUCGGCGGCUUUGUACUGCGGGCCAACUCGUUUGGCCAUCUGGAGCAGAUCAACAGCUACACCCCUGGCCAUCAGGUCAAAUUCGGAAGCCUAUAUUACGUCGCGGACGUCCGUGGAGAUUUGACCUUCGACGGAUCCGAGACCGCGGCAACCGCUCACCAUGACCUCGACGAACAUGGCUUAAACCUGUCAUCAGGCCGCAUCCAGGAGAUAGCUCCUGUAGCAGCUCUGGCCUUAAAUCCGGAGCAGAUCAAGUCGCCCGUAGUUGGGAAGCUCGACCCCAUCACGGGGGCUAACGAUUCCUCGACGCUAGAGCCGCACGCAUAUUGCACUUCAUACGGUAUCUGCAUCAACGGAACCUCGGACUCCACCAGGUGCAACCAUGGCACAACAUAUUCUUUCUGGUUCAUAAAAAAUAUCAGUAAAAUUUCGUGGCAUUUGGACUCCGUCUGAUAUUGAUUUUUGCGAUGUAAAAAACACGAAAAAACAGGAACUGGCACUUGGCACUAUGUCAAUAGGUUAGUACCUAAAAUUGAUAUAAAAUGAUUAUAAAACAUCCAAGAUUGAUAAUAUAGCAGCAUGCAUGGAACAAUCAAAAAUUAUAGAUACGUUGGAGACGUAUCAACAUCCCUAAGCUUAACCCCUACUCGUCCUCGAGUAUGUAAGUGAUAAAAACAGAAUUUUUUAUGUGAAGUGUUGUUUAACAUGUCAUAUUAUAUUUUUUUCUUUAUAGCAUGGACAUUUGGGCUUUUAUAUGAUUCAAAGGAAUAGUUUAGUGUUGACAUAAUAAUUUAGAUACUCAAACAUAUCAACAAGCAACCAUGUCUUUCUAAAUAUCAAUGCUAAAAUAUGUUAUCCGUACAAAAUCAUAUAGUCUUGUCAUGCUUUGUCUUCUUAACACAAAGUAUUUAUCAUGCACAACCCCGAUGACAAGCCGAGCAAUUGGUUCAUACUUUUUAACGCGCUUUAACUUUUUCAACUCUUACGCAAUACAUGUGCGCAAGCCAUAGAUAUAGCACUACGGGUGGAAUAUAAUAUGAGGAUAGGGCUAAAUAUAGAGAAGAAAAAGAAGUAAGAAAGUCUCACAUCGAUGUGGCUAACCAACGGGCUAUGGAGAUGCCCAUCAAUCGAUAUCAACGUGAGGAGUAAGGAUUGCUAUGCGACGAAUGCACUAAGAGCUAUAAGUGUAUGAAAACUCAAUGGGUGUGCAUCUAAUCCUAUAAUGAAAAAUUCCCACUAGUAUAUGAAAGUGACAACAUAGGAGACUCUCCAUAUGAAAGACAUGGUGCUACUUUAAAGCACAAGUGUGGUAAAGGAUACUAACAAUGCCCCUUCUCUCUUUGUUUAUUUUUUCCUUUUUUUGUUUUUUUCCUUUUUUUCUUUUUUUCUCUCAUUGUCUGGAGUCUCAUCCCGACUUGUGGGGAAAUCAUAGUCUCCAUCAUCCUUUUCUCACUGGGGCACUGCUCUAAAAAUGAAUAAUGAUGACCAUCACACUUCUAUUUACUUAUAACUUAAAAGAAAUAAAAAUUACAAUUUGAUACCUAUGACAAAGUAUGACUCUAUAUGAAUGCCUCUGGCAUGUAACAGGAUGUGCAAUGAUCUAGCAUAACAUGUAUAAAAAAUGAUGAAUGGUGGCUGAGCCACAACUACUAUGUCAGCUAUAUGAUCAUGCAAAGCAAUAUGACACUGAAUGCUCAAGUCAUCAAACGGAAGCGGUGGAAGUUGCAUGACAAUAUAUCUCGGAAUGACUAUAGAAAAGCCAUAAUAGGUAGGUAUGAUGGCUGUUUUGAGGAAGAUAUAAUAAGGCUUAUGUGUGAUAGAGCGUAUCAUAUCAAAGGGUUUGGAUGCACCUGCGAAGUUUGCAUCAUGUCUCGAUGUGAGAAAGGGCAAUGCACGGUAACGUAGAGGCUAGCAAAUUGCGAAAAAGGUAAGAGUGCAUAUAAUCCAUGGACUCACAUUAGUCAUAAAGAACACAUAUACUUAUUGCAAAAGUUUAUUAGCCCUCAAAGCAAAGUACUACUACGCAUGCCCUUAGGGGAUAGAUUGGUAGGAAAAAACCGUCGCUCAUCCCCGACCACCACCCAUAAGGAAGACAAUAAAAAAUAAAUCAUGCACCAACAUCAUAGCAUAACGAGAGACUAUACGUGCAUGUUUCGGAAAUCACAAACCUUAACACCAAUAUUACUACUAGAGCACAAUUACUCAUCAACAUAACUCACAUAUCACAUCAUCAUAUCUUCAAAGUAUCACUAAGAAUCAAGUUUAUUUUGUCCAAUGAUAUUCAUGACUUUUAUUUUUCUUUAUCCUUCUUUAUAUUUAUCACUUUAGGACUAAUUUUUUGUGUUGCUUUUCAUACGCUCAAACAUAUAUAAGUGAAGAUCAUGAGUAUAACAAAUUUUCUUUCUCUCAAAAUAAUUUAAGUGAAGCAAGAGAUAAUUUCUUCAAAAUUUUAUUAACUCUAAAAUAAAUCUUGGUGAAGCAAGAGAGCAUUUCUUCAAAAAUACUAAAGCACGACGUGCUCAAAAAGAUAUAGGUGAAGCACUAGAGCAAGUCCUAGCUCAUAAAAAUUUAAAUGAAGCAUAGAGAUCAAUUCUAACAAGUCAUGACAUAAUUUUGGCUCUCUCAAAUAGGUUUGUCCAGUAAGGAUUGAUGACUUAAAACACAAAAUAAAACAAGAAAAGACUCGUAUCAUACAAGACACUCCAAACAAAACACAUAUCAUGUGACGAAUAAAAAUAUAGUUUCUAGUAAAAUACUAAUGAUCGUUGGAAGAAAACGAGGAUGCCACUCGGGGGCAUCCCCAAGCUUAGUUGGUUACUCAUUCUUGGAUAAUAGCUUGGGAUGCCGGGGCAUCCCCAAGCUUAGGCCCUUCCAUUCUUCCUUCAUCCAUCGUAAGAUAACCUAAAACUUGAAAACUUCAAUCACACAAAACUCAACAAAACCUUCGUGAGAUCCGUUAGCAUAAGAAUAAUGAACCACUACUAUAAGUGAUGUAUCAAACCAAUUCAUAUUUUGUUCUUGUAUCAUAUCUACUGUAUUCCAACUUUCUACGGCAAAAACUCAUCAAAGAAAACCAUAGAGCUAUCAAAAUAAGCACACAACACAAAGAAAACAGAAUCUGUCAAACAUAACAGUUUGUAGAAAUCUGACUAUUUCAAAUACUUCCGUAAAUCCAAAAAUUCUGAAAAAUUAGGACGACCUGAGCAUUUUGUAUAUUGAUCUACUGCAAGUGGAAUGGGUAUUUUAUCGCUCUCUAGUAAAAAAAUGAAAAUUAGUUUCGUGAGUGUAAAAUUUUCUGUUUUUCAGCAAGAUUAAACAAGUAUCACCCAAGAAGAUCCUAAAGGCUUUGCUUGACAUAAACACUAAUUAAAACAUAAAAACACAAUCAUAAUAGUAGCAUAAUUGUGCUAAUACACAAAAACAGGAAGCAAAAAGUAAAAAAAAAAAUUCAUUGGGUUGCCUCCCAACAAGCGCUAUAGUUUCAAGCCCCUAGCUAGGCAUAAGAUUUCAAGGAUGCUCACAUGAAAGAUAAGAAUUGAAACACAAAAAGAGCAUCAUGAAACAUACGACAAACACAUUUAAGUCUAACAUGCUUCCUAUGCAUAUGAAUUUUGUAAGAAAACAAAUUAUCAAGACAAGAAACAUCUAACAUAUGCAAAGAGGAGGAAUAAAACAUUAACGAUCUCAACAUAACGAGAGGUAAUUUUGUAACAUGAAAUUUUCUAUAACCAUAUUUCCCUCUCUCAAAAUAAUUGCAUGUAAGAUCAUAAUCAAAUUCAACAAUACAACUAUCACAUAAAAAAUUCUCUUCAUGAUCCACAUGCAUGCAAAAUUGACACUCUUUUAAAAUAGUGGGAUUAUAAUUAAAUAAAGUCAUGACCUCUCCGAGCCCACUUUUAUCAAAAUUUUCAUAAGACUGAACACUCUCCAAAUAUGUGGGAAUAUUUUUAGCUAAAGUUGACACUCUUCCAAACCCACUUUCAAUAUUAUCGCAAGCAUAUUCAUCAUGAGGUUUAAAUAUAUUUUGAAGAUCAUAAGAAUCAUUAUCACCCCAAUCAUGGUCAUUGCAAUAAGUAGCGGACAUGACAAAACAAGCAUCCCCAAGCUUGGGGUUUUGCAUAUUAUUAGCACAAUUGACAUUAAUAGAAUUUAUAGUAAAAUUAUUAAAAUAAUGCUUUCCAUUCAAGGAGCUAGCAUGAAUCACUUCAUAAAUUUCUUCAUCACAAUUUUCAGAUUCACGAUUCUCAAGCAAAACAUCAUAAAGAUAAUCUAGUGCACUCAACUCACUAGCAAUUGGUCCGUCAUGAUUGGAUCUUUUAAAAAGAUUAGAAAGUGGAUGGGGAUCCAUAUCAAUAGAUUUUUAGCAAGCGAAGAUGCAAGCAUAUAGAGGCACAUGGCAACACAAGCAAACAAAAGAUCUGACGAGACAAAGGUGAACGAAAAAGAGGACGAAUAAAACUGUAAAUUUUUGUGAAGUGGGGGAGAGGAAAACGAGAGGCAAAUGGUAAAUAAUGUAAAUUGCGAGGAGAUGAGAUUUUUGAUUAGGAACCUGGUUAUGUUGAAGAUCCUCCCCGGCAACAGCGCCGGAAAUACCUUUUGAUUACUCUCUAACUAUAGCGCCAGAAAAGCUCAUGUCUGCUAGGACUACGUCGGUAUUUCCCCAAAGAGGAAGGGAUGAUGCAGCACAUCGACGGUAGGUAUUUCCCUCGGUGAAGAAACCAAGGUUAUCGAGCCAGUAGGAGAACCAAACAACACAACGUAAACAGUACCUGCACACAAGUAACAACACCUCACAACCCGACGUGUUAAAGGGCUUGUCAAUCCCUUUCGGAUAACGAUGCCAGAGAUUGUAAUAGAUCGCAAAUAAAAUAAAGUGCAACAAAGUAUUUUUGUAUUUUUGGUUUAAUAGAUCUGAAUAAAAAUGCAAAGGAAAAGUAGAUCGCAAGAAAAUAUAUGAGAAAGAAGACCCGGGGGCCAUAUGUUUCACUAGUGGCUUCUCUCGAGAAAGAUAGCAAACGAUGAGUAAAAAAAUUACUGUUGGGCAAUUGAUAGAACUUCAAAUAAUUAUGACGAUAUCCAGGCAAUGAUCAUUACAUAGGCAUCAUAUCCAAAACUAGUAGACUGACUCCUGCCUGCAUCUAGUACUAUUACUCCACAAAUCGACCGCUAUCCAACAUGCAUCUAGUGUAUUAAGUUCAUGGAAAAACGGAGUAAUGCAAUAAGAACGAUGGCAUGAUGUAGACAAGAUCCAUUUAUCUAUUGCGUAGAUAUAGAUCUCAUCAUUUUAUCCUUAGUAGCAACGAUACAUACGUGCCGGUUCCCUUUCUGUCACUGGGAUCAAGCACCGUAAGAUCGAACCCACUACCGGGCACCACUUCCAUUACAAGAUAAAUAGAUCAAGUUUGCUAAACAAAACCCAAAUAUCGGAGAAGAAAUACGAGGCUAUAAGAGAUCAAGGAAACUCAAAUAAUUUUCAUGGAUAUAAAAAGAUAUGACUGAUCAUAAACUCAAAGUUCAUUAGAUCCCCACAAACAAAAAGCAAAAAAAGUUACAUCAUAUGGAUCUCCAAGAGACUAUUGUAUUGAGAAUCAAGAGAGAGAGAGAGAGAGAGAGAGAGAGAGAGAUAGAGAGAGAGAUGAAGCCAGCUAGCUACUAACUACGGACCCGAAGGUCUACAAAGAACUACUCACGUAUCAGCGAAGAAGCACCAAUGGAGGUGGUGAACCCCAUCUGAGAUGGUGUUUAGAUUGGAUCUGGUGAUUCUAGACUCUCCGGCGGCUGGAUGAAUAUUUCGUCGACCCCCCUAGGGUUUUGGUAUUUUUGGGGUAUUUAUAGAGCAAAGACGCGGUUAGGGGGAACCCGAGGUGGGCACUACCCACCAGGGCGCGCCUGGCCUCCUGGUACGACCUGGUGGGUUGUCCCCUCCUUGGGACUCCCCGCAGUUGCAACCAGGGCCCAACAUGUUCUUUCUGGUCCAUAAAAAAUCUAUGUAAAGUUUGUGGCAUUUGGACUCCGUCUGAUAUUGAUUCUCUAUGAUGUAAAAACAUGGAAAAAAGAGGAACUGGCAGUUGAAACUAUCUCAAUAGGUUAGUACCAAAAAAGAUAUAAAAUAAUUACUCCCUCUGUUCACUUUUGUAAGUCGUUUAGGAUAAUUGAAAUUGAACUAUUUUAGGUGAUGUCUUAAAUGUCUAAAAGGUCUUACAAAAGUGAACGGAGGGAGUAUAAAACAUCCAAGAUUGAUAAUAUAACAACAUGGAACAAUAAAAAAUUAUAAAUAUGUUGGAGACGUAUCACGCCCAGGCUUGCCGAGGAGAAAUGAUGGCAACGAGAAGCGAGCUGCCUCUCCACCUUGCGCAGCCUGUCCAGACGUACAUACAUGUUGCUUUGAUUAAAUCUGGCUUGAAGUUCUUGCUUUGAUUCCGAUCGAAAACGAGGGAGGAGGAGCGAGGCUCCAUCAAUGGAUAGAUGCGCAAAACAAAUCAAACAAGGUUUUCCAUAGGACCGACCAAGGCACGCAUGCAUGCGAGCAUGCGUGUGUUGUCCCGGUGGUACCAGCGAGCAAGAGAAGCAUGCAUGCACUCAUGUUCCUAUUUAGAUAGAAAAAGGCACACACAAAAAUUUAAGGUUUAUUGACAAACAAACCUGCUUCUCUCCUAAACUAUAAGCCAAAGCUUUCUCCCCCAACUAGGCUUGUCUUUGCUUGUUGAACUUCUGAACAAAUCUUGCAGAAAAUUCAGAACCUUGAGAUUUUGUGACUCUAGUCUAGUGUGAACUUCAGUAAAUGAAUCAAUGAUAAAGCCAGCUAAUAUGUAGUAUGAAUCAACGCAGAUGCUAGUGUUUAGCAAU
rnacentral:lncRNA from 1 species